UUUGGGGUUGCCGGAGUUUCAUGAUGAACGGAAUUGUUUGCCCAACAGACCGGUGCAACGCUCUCCGGGACAGUGUAAGGCCUUUUUGUCUAAAAAAAUUCAUUGUAGUGCUUUCAGGUGUCAUAAAUUUGUUCCUGUUUUGCCACCUCCUCCGCCACUUUCACCGCCCUUGCCUGCCCCUCCGCCACCUGUUUAUUCGCCUCCGCCACCAGUUUAUACUCCUCCUUCUCCUUCCCCACCACCUCCUCCACCUCCAGUUUAUUCACCACCGCCACCACCACCCUCUCCACCUCCUCCAUCACCUCCCCCGCCUCCACCACCAGUCUAUUCACCUCCACCCCCACCUCCAUCUCCUCCUCCACCAUCACCUCCACCACCACCCCCGCCAUCUCCACCUCCACCACCAGUUUAUUCAUCACCACCACCGCCACCAUCUCCCCCUCCACCAUCACCUCCACCUCCUCCCCCACCCGUUUAUUCGCCACCACCAUCUCCACCUCCUCCAUCACCAUUGCCUUAUUGUAUACGCUCACCUCCACCACCAAAUUCCCCACCUCCUAAUUCUCCACCUCCACCGCUUGCUCACUCGCCUCCACCCCCUUCACCUUACUAUUACAAUUCACCACCACCUCCGCCCCCAAAUUCGCCUCCUCCUCCACCAGUAUACAUAUACUCAUCACCUCCGCCACCAAAUUCACCUCCUCCUCCACCGCCAACAUACGUAUAUUCUUCACCUCCUCCACCUCCUUCCCCAUUGCCUUGUAUAGAACCCCCUCCACCACCUCCUCCUUGCAUUGAACCACCCCCACCCCCCUCCCCUUCACCAUCUCCUCCUCCACCACCGGUUUAUCAUUACAAUUCUCCGCCCCCACCAUCUCCAUCACCUCCACCACCAGUUUAUUAUCAUUACAAUUCUCCGCCCCCACCAUCUCCAUCACCUCCACCACCAGUUUAUUAUUACAAUUCUCCACCACCACCAUCACCACCGCCUACUCCAGUAUACGAAGGGCCAUUACCACCAGUAAUAGGAGUUCAAUAUGCUUCACCACCUCCACCACCCUUUUAUUAAUUCUUUCAGAAAUUUCACUAACUCUUAUCCUCAGAGCACAAAAUAGUUCCUACAAUUAUUAUUUCCUCAACUCUUCAAGCCAUCAACAAAAUCGAGCUAAUAUGUGAUCACGAACCUUAAAUGGUACGACAGAAAGAAAGAUAGAGGAGGUAAAGAGGAGAAAGAUUCAAUCUCCAAUGAUUUUAUUUUUGAAUUGUUAUCAAAUAGAUUGAAGUUGUGGAGAGAAUAAAUUGGCAAAGUAAAGAUUGAAACUUUGCUGGAAAAUGUAUGUAUAGAGAGAUCAUAAUCUUGAAUUAGAAACCAGUUUACAGUGCUUGCUGCAACUGGUUUUAUUUAAUGAUCAUACUUUGAUUUCUUUGUAAUUUUUUCUUUUUUUUUUUGGAUCUUCCAAACUAUAGUAUAAGAUGAGCUUUUUAUUUUCUUUUAAAACUUGUAUUGAUUCCUCAUAAUUCAGAUGAUUUCUUUCUAUAGCUAAUAGGUGUUCUUCUUUAUGUAUCUUCUUGAUCUUACAAUCCUCCCACUUGAUGUUUUAUUUUUUCUUGAUGAACAAUAUUGGUUAUUUGAAAUUUAUUGAUUCGAUUAACUCGAGUUUGAGUGGGAUAGAGCUUUGUGUAUCGAAAUGUUAUCAAUUUUUUCAGUCGUUUGUUAAAGAUGAAGAGAUUUCAACUAUUUUAUAUGUUUGGACUCAGAAGCAAGAACACCAUAAGUAGCAAUUCAUGAUUCGAUUUGAGUUGAUUUUGUUUUUCAUUAACCAUCUAAAUCGAUGUUUUGAAUAUUAAAAUCAUAUCAGACAAAUUGAAGCGAUUAUUCUAAAAAUGUGUGAUAUUUAAUGUCAAAAGGAUUAUAUUCUAGCAUAACAUGAUCAAUUCAAUUAUUCUUAAGAAAAGAAAACACUAUACAUAUAAUUAAGCUACUCCGUCUUUAUUUGUUUUUGUUGAUUCUUAUUGACUUGACACUACAUUUUAUCGUAAAUUAGGUUCAUUUUUACAAAACUAAUUUCAACAAUGUACCUUUUUUUGUGUGUGUGUGUGUGUGUGUGUUGGGGUUUGGGGUGGGGGGNNNNNNNNNNNNNNNNNNNNNNNNNNNNNNNNNNNNNNNNNNNNNNNNNNNNNNNNNNNNNNNNNNNNNNNNNNNNNNNNNNNNNNNNNNNNNNNNNNNNNNNNNNNNNNNNNNNNNNNNNNNNNNNNNNNNNNNNNNNNNNNNNNNNNNNNNNNNNNNNNNNNNNNNNNNNNNNNNNNNNNNNNNNNNNNNNNNNNNNNNNNNNNNNNNNNNNNNNNNNNNNNNNNNNNNNNNNNNNNNNNNNNNNNNNNNNNNNNNNNNNNNNNNNNNNNNNNNNNNNNNNNNNNNNNNNNNNNNNNNNNNNNNNNNNNNNNNNNNNNNNNNNNNNNNNNNNNNNNNNNNNNNNNNNNNNNNNNNNNNNNNNNNNNNNNNNNNNNNNNNNNNNNNNNNNNNNNNNNNNNNNNNNNNNNNNNNNNNNNNNNNNNNNNNNNNNNNNNNNNNNNNNNNNNNNNNNNNNNNNNNNNNNNNNNNNNNNNNNNNNNNNNNNNNNNNNNNNNNNNNNNNNNNNNNNNNNNNNNNNNNNNNNNNNNNNNNNNNNNNNNNNNNNNNNNNNNNNNNNNNNNNNNNNNNNNNNNNNNNNNNNNNNNNNNNNNNNNNNNNNNNNNNNNNNNNNNNNNNNNNNNNNNNNNNNNNNNNNNNNNNNNNNNNNNNNNNNNNNNNNNNNNNNGGUUUGGGGUGGGGGGUUGGGGGUAUUGAAGUCUCCCUUUGAUUGAGGGAAAGUAGUUGAAUUGUGUCCUAAAUUGGAUGUCUUUAUCAUUUAUUUAUUUAAAAACUUAGGAAAAGUGAAAGAUUCCAUUAUCAUCUAGCUAAUUGAGAAUUUUGUAUUAUGACCAUGUGACUUCAGCCCCCACUAUAACAUUAUCACCAAAAGUUUUAUUUGUAGAAAUAGAGUUCACGAGUUAUUUUCGAUAUUAUCUGUACAAAAAUAAAUAGUAUUUUAUUUUAAAAUUCUAAGAAGAAAAAAAAAGUCUGUCGAGUUCGAUUCUUCUUAGUUGGGUUGGACGAAUUCAACCAAAAAUGUUAUGUUUACACACAAGAUUACUCUACGUGCGAUUAUUUAAGGACGACGGACGACUUUCAAUGGGAGAUGAUUCACUGCACAAGGACACUGUAAAGGAAGAGCUUUAUUCUAGCGAAUAGAAGAUACUUAGCUCCGCUCAAUAUAGAGAUUAACAUACUUUCGUGUAGAACAAAACGAAUGAUAGACGAUUCGAUAAAUACAGCAUGACGAUCAUUAUAAAUUCAUGAAUUAAAAAUAUUGAAUUAUACUCUUUCAUUUGUAAAUUUUGCUUGAUUUGUUAAAAUUUCAAAUUAGUUUGGUUGAUUUUAUCUUCACUCAAUUAAAAAAAACUUUUCUGCUAUACAAAAUAAAUAUCUUAAUUCUACCUCAUGUAAUUCUUUGGAUCAUUCAUAUUAUUAAUGUCCAAAAACCAUUUUGUUUUUAUUCUUGAUCAUGACACAAUUCCACCCGUGAAGUAUAACACAAGAUCAUUGUAUAUCAUAAUCGAUUAAAAUUCCAUAUGUAAAAUUUGAAACUCAAAGACAAUAAAUGUAUUACAAUUAUAAAAGCGUAAAAAGAAAUUAUUUAUGAAUUUACCAUUUGUAAAAUUUGAAACUCAAAAGGAGUAUAUAACUUGUUUUUUUCUUGACACUAUUUUCAAUAAUGUGCUUUCAUUUAUUUGUUUUUCCUACACCACACGUGACCCCACCUCCAGACAGUUACCCUUUUUUUUGGGUCACUUAUAAAUUAUAAUUUCGAUAUUUGUAUUAAAGACUCGGUUAAAUUUAAAUUUGUAUAUUGCAUAAUUUAUUUCUAGGAAUAUUGCUUUCAACAUGAUUUUUCAUUAACAGCAAAUGAAUCUCAAUCAUCCAACCAUUUCGUUUCAUACUAUAAACCUAACUCAUUAACAUUUUUAUCAUGCUACUAAUACACUAAUAUAUAUAUAUAGUUUGCUUUGUGAUGAUGAAUUAAUUAUUAUUUCUCAUAUUACUAUUGUGAUAUUUGUUAGAGAUUUUAUUUAACAAUUGUUUUACAAAUAAUUUGAUCGUGUAAAAGAAUAUUUUACAAGUAAAUUCCUUUGCUUUGUUGUCUUUAUUUAUUUUUGUCAAUAUCAUGAGAUUCUUUUUCCCUUUUGUUUAAAUAUUCUAUCAACACCAAGGAAAUAGUUUUAAAAAUGUGAUCAAUUUUCUAAUAGUUGGUUGACAUUUGAGUCCUUUUCAAAGCACAAAAAAGAGCAUAUACUAUCACAUUUUAGGGUGAAGUAAUUUUUUUUAUCAACCUGCUUUAAAUUUUCGAUAGAAAUUAGCAACCUGUAAGUGACAGAUACUCUAUAAUUCUAUUAGCUAUGAGUCAAUUUAAUGAUGAAAUUCGUGGUCUAAAAUAAACUUCAUAAGUUGCAAGAACAAUAAAAAGUGAAGAUCAUUUACUAAAUAAUUAUCCCAUAAAAAUGUCAUUAUAGCUAUCAAUUUGUAAACUCUAAACAAAUCAUAAGAUUGUAAAGCGUAUUAUAACACAUUAAUGGAAGUGAUUUAAUUUUUUUAUUCCGCAUUCGAUGUUCGAUAUUUAUAUUGAAAUGCUAAUUAAUUUGAAUUCGCACUGUGUAACCUACUUAAGAGGAAAACACUCCUUAACUUAAUUUUUUCAUACACAUGACUCAAACUCAAAAAUUCUAAUUAAAAAUGCAUCGUAAUUUCUAUUCAUCUUACCAGAAUCGUUAUUGAGAUUUAAUACUGAAAAUGGGGUCCAAAUCAACAUUAUACUCAUAUCACAUGGUUUUGCUAAGGGAAUUCUCACAUCAUAUCUACUCUUUCUUGGUGUUAGGAUUUGUAUGGUUGCAUAUUAAUUAAUUAGUUGGUUGACUAAGUGUAUUUAUACAUUUUUAAAUCUUGAAAAAUAAUUAGUGGUCAUUUAUUUAAAGCCUUAAAAAUACAGCCUGUUAGUAGGUCAAGCAUAUUAAUAAUCGAUAGGUCAAAAAUCUCACAUACCCCCCAUUUGUACUUUUCUUUUUUCUUUUUCACUCGAGGUUCGAUACUUAUAAUGGGAGUCAAUUAAAUUUGAAUUUACGUAUUAAAUGGCUCAUUUCUGGAGUGAUGUUUCUAACAAUAUUAUUUUUUUUUAAUUUUAUUUUAAGAAUUCAAACCUGAAACGAUUUUUCCAAAAAGAAUAUCAUCCACUACCAACCAUGUUGGUAUACCCCAUUAUACUGACUCUCCUCCAAACAUACUAUAGAAAACAUAAAUAAUAAUAAUAAUAAUAACGUCUUAAUUUCAAUAAAUUAAAAUUGACUAUAUAAAUUUUUGCCAUUCAUGUUAUUUUAUUUAAAUUCGUCAAGGCUUAAAUAACCAAGCUUGCUCCAACCGUUAGGUUUGUUUCUUCCGGCUGGUAUACAUAUUUAAUUCUUGGAAAUCGAUAAACCCUAAUGAUAAUAUUUUAUGUAUAUAUUUUUUAAAAUGUAGUGUAUAAACUUCUUUAACAUUGCUGUCUUUCUAAGCAAAUUGCAAAUCUCCAUGCCUAGAAUUAUGUUGAAAUUUGUGUCUAAAAGAAUGAAAAGGCCAAAGUAUGGAAAUUAAGAAUAUUAAUAAGGGAGUUGUUGGUAAGAAUAAAGAUUAAAUAAUGUAAUUUCAAACACAUUCUAUGAUGACACUUGGAGGAUAAUCAAAACAGAUUGCGAUAGAUGGUUGAGAUUCUUCUGCCUUGGUUCGAUUGUGAAAUAGGAUUAGGAGCAACAAUAGGACUAAUAUUUGAAAUAUAAAAUAUAUUUAAAAAAUAUUUGAACUAUGAUUCAUACUUAAUAUUCAAACCUCAUGUCCAAGUUUCAAAAUCCAUGGCGUGACCACAAAUGCAUUGUAGAGCUAGAUCAAAUUUAUCAACAGACAAUUGAAAAACGAUACGACCCAUGACCUCCCUCUACUCGUGCAUGCGUGCAAACCUUCGAUGCAGGUGUUAUUGAAGAUAUAAUUAACUAAAAAUAAGAUGGUUGCAGACUUCAAUAUAAUAUUACAUCGGACAACUAUAUUGAGUCCGAGUCUUAUCACCGCUCAAACUUUUCAAAAUAUCACGUAUGUGACCCUAAAUCAAAUCAAGCCUUAACGUGAAGGUAGGUGUUGAGAAAACAUAACUGCCAGUAACAUGUCAAUCAGUGAGUAAACUGAAUCUUUUUCUACAACAAGAGAAAUUGUACAUCCAAGGCACAAAUUAAAAUUGAACCUACAUGUCUGCAACAACUGAAAUUUGGUGCAAUAUCUGCCAAAAUAUUACAAGUAGUUAGAAAUAGUUGAUAGUGAUAUCAAAAUAUCAAAGAAAUUAAAUCGUGAUAUGACUAGAUUUCUUUCACUUGGUGGUUGGGGUAGAGUUUUAGUCUACCUUCCACCGAAUAUAAAAAAUCUUAGAGUUGUCUAAUCUAUUGACGUCUCGAUGAACAGAGCCAUUAUUUGUGUCACAUCUUCAAAUUCAAAUAAGGACUUUUAUUUUUUCUUAUCUCUCAAAUGAUAAGAAUUGAAGCGAUUGAGAGAAAGAAAAAAACUAUUGCAUACACUCCCAUUUGGCGGCCUUUAUUAAGACAAAAGUAAGAGUGAAACUACGAAUCAUAUAUAACAUAGUAUUCAUUGAGAGACAGAAUAUGUUGUUGGUGUUAUUGCUGAAUCACUUUCAUUACUAUGUUGUUAUUAUUAUUUUUAUUAUUACCUACUUAGUAUUAUUAUAUAGUGUGUUUAAAUAUUUUAAUGAAUUUGAUCGAACUUAGAAGCACAAAGAAAUAUAAAUGAGAAAGGGGGUUUAAAAUAGGGCAUCUUACAUAAAUCUCACUACUUUAGAUCCCAAUUACUAGGAUUCCCGAUAGUUUGUAAUAUUACUUUUUAUACCAUAUUUUGGCCCCGAGAUACAUGUAUCAUUGAUGGCGAGAUACAUGUAUCCAACCGUUUUUAAAGCUGAGAUACACGAUUUAUUAAUUUAAAUUAAAGGAGUUGUAACUUAUUUCCUUAAUUAAUGGAUUAAUUUCUGACUAAUUAACAACUCAACAAAUUUAUAGGAUCUUGAGUAUCAUCUCUAACAAAUAUUCCUAAAAUAACGAAAUCAUAAACCUAAUUAAUUUUGUUAUUGUACUCUUCAUCUUCUUCAUCGGCUUGAAUCAUUAAUGGCGAGAUACAUGUAUCCAACAGUUUUUAAAGUNNNNNNNNNNNNNNNNNNNNNNNNNNNNNNNNNNNNNNNNNNNNNNNNNNNNNNNNNNNNNNNNNNNNNNNNNNNNNNNNNNNNNNNNNNNNNNNNNNAAUCAUUAAUGACGAGAUACAUGUAUUCAAGCCGAGAUACACGAUUUAUUAAUUUGGAUUAACCUCUUCAUCUCUUCUUCAUCAACUUGAAUCAUUAAUGGCUGCACAUGGCUUCAUCGGCGUUCAACGACUCGUCGGAGUAAGGAGGAAGUAUUUAAUGUAAAUUGAACUGAAACAAGUAAUUGGAAGAAUUGCAGAGAAGAAGAAAUGCCUAAAAAGUAGAGAACAAAGAAGAAGUACAGAAAAUUCUUGUUUAGAAGGGUGGUUGCCUUUUUGCCUUCUAAAAUGUUAUACCAAAGAUAUAAUCACACUCUAAGCAAGAAGAUAGUGCACAACAUUACAUUCAUAAUGCGGUUAUAUGAAAACGCAAAGUUUGUCAUUUCCGGAUUGAGGGUGGAAUCCGGUAAGGGCUGGGUGGGGGUGGGGGGAGAGAUAUUGUUGGGGGAGGAGACUGAAGGAGGUUGAAUUGUUAAGGGGAUUUAAAUUUUAGGAUAAUUAUUCAAUACCAUAUUUAAGGGAUUUGUGUAUCUGAUUUAAUUUUUAAAUAUAUGGUAUAAUUAUUAAAAAGUGGUAUUAUGAGUAAUAUUUUUAAACUAUAGGUAACAUAUGUAUAUAUAGUAGUUAAGUAUGUCUAAUUAUGUAGUUUAAUCUUUAAAAUACAAAAUUAGGUCCAAAUUUUCAUCAUAAUUGACCCAUUUGAUUUAGGCCCAAUCUACCUAUUAAUUGGGCUAGGCCUUUAGCUCAUUACAUGGACCUCAAUUCAGCCCAAAACAUCAUCCAAACCACUAUUUUAGAAGGUAAAUAAUCUUAUUUUAAGUAAGAUUUUAAGAUUUAAAUUAUCUUUUUUACUUUCUUAAAUUCGUAUUAGGAUAAAAGUAAAAAUGUAAGCAUGCACAAGUAGAGCAGAAAACUUAAGUAUGAAAUGAAAGUAUUUAUAGAAGGAGUUGGGUAAAAGAUAAAAAUAAGAUUAUCAUCAUUAUAUUUACUCCAAGUGCAAAAUUAAAUUACAAAAACACCCAUUAAAAAUUAAACCAUCAUAUUAUCCUUAGCUUAUCGAUCCUAUUUCUAUUAUAUUUUGUACCAUAAAGUUUAAUAUAUAUCAAUAAAUAAUAAUAUUAUAAAUGAAUGAGGUAAAUAAAAAGACAUUAGCGUGGAGUUUUCCUUCCGUUUCAUAUUACUUGUUUGUCUUAUAAAAAUAGUUGUCUUAAAUUAUUUUUCAAUUUACAAAAUCAAGAUGAAACUAAUUUUUUUAUUUUAUCUUAACAAUUAAUAAUUUUUAAAAGUGUAAUUUUUUAAAAUAAAAAAUAAUCAGAAGGUAAAUAAGUAAAACUAAAGGUGUAAAUGAGGAUGAAGUGUGAACAACUAAUAUAAAGUCAAGAGAGUAUUAAAUUCAGUAACUAAUUCAUCUACAAAAUGCUAUUAUUAGUUACCUAUUUAUAGUGAAAAAUGUUUGAGAAGAAUUGUCUAAUCUACAAUUUUUAAGUUUUUUCUAUUUUUGUGGCAAGUGAUGCUUAUUUGUUCACACCAUCAUUUGAAGGUACUUUUCAUUUUAAUUUUCCUCUCCAACUAUAUAUUUAAGCAAUUUUAUUUGUGUGGUUAUAAUGUUGGCGAUGAAUUUUCAAUUGUCUUUCGAUUUAGUAUUUUUAAUUUUAAUUUUAUAUAUUUGGGUUGGAGGUUGUCAUGAAUUCAUGUAAAUUUAAAAAUUUUCAAUUUUUUUUGAUGGGGUGGCCUGGAUUGGGGGGGGGGGGUAAAAAGGAAUUUUUUUAAAAUUUGAAUUUUUUUCCAAACACUACUUUUUUUAAAAAAGUAAAAUUACGAGGUGACCUAGGGGGUAGAGGGUGGCGUAAAAAUAUUUUUAUUUUUAAAAUUUAAAAUAAUUUCCAAAAAAUAUUUAAAAAAUAAUUUUUUUGACGGGUGGCCUGGGUAGGGGUUGGCAGGCCGGGGGUGGGGUUGAGAGGUGUAGUAAGAAAUGAAAAUAAUUUAAAUUUGAACCAUUUUCCAAAGAUUUUUAAAAAAAAUAAUAUGACUGGGUGGAGGUGCCGGGGGGGGGGGUCGUUUGGAGGUAGGAAUAAAAAUAUUUUUGAAAUUUAAAUAAGAAAAUUUAAAAUUUUGAUAUUUUUUGGAUGGGGAGGGUCGGGUAUGGCGUACGAGGUAGGGUAAGAAAAAAAUAUUGAAGGAUGAAGUAGAGUUUUGAAAAAUAUUUUCCUUAAUUUUUGAAGGGAAUGACUUUUUCUUAAAUUUGAGGAAAUGAGUUGAUUUGAAAAACAUUUAAGUCAAGCCAAACAUGGAAAAAUUGGAAAACUUUAUACCAAACACACCCUUAGAUUUAGAUUUAGGAUUCGAGAAAGUAGUUAAUUCUAUUAGAUGAACAGUAAGACAAUUAUAACUACUGAUUUCUGUUAGAUUAGUGAAUAGUGGUAGAUUUCAAUCACUCAACUUGUAAUCAAUCAACUCAUUGUACAAUUAUGAAAAUACAAAAUUGUUCUCUCUUCUUAAACUCUCUUAUUCUCUCUUAAUUUUUAUACAAAUACAAUGUAUAAUUUGUGUUUGUAUAAAGAGAAAGAGAGAUUUGAUAUACAAAUACAAAUGUUUAAUUUAACUCGAUUCAAUUGUAUAUGAAUUCAAAUUUUAUGCAGAUAUACAAACACAAUCAUUGAUACAUAUAUAUGUUACAUAUAUAUAAUUAUCUAACCGAUAUACAUAUACAAUUCACCUCUCUCCACUCUCUGCCCUCUCUCGCUUGCCUUUCUCACCUCUCUCCUAAUCUUGCUCGCCAAUCUAGCCUAACACAGAGAACAUAUACAUGUACAAACACAAUUUUCAUAGACAAAGACUCCCGAUUUAUAUAAAUCGCCGUGAUUUAUACAAAUCAGAUGCUCCAUGGCAAACAUAAUUGGGAAAAAGGACAAAUAUACCUUCAAACUAUUGUACAUGGUAUGCAGAUACCCUCUGUCAUACUUUCGGGACAUUGGUGCUCCUGCCGUCCAAAAACUAGAGCAUAUAUGCCCUUCACUCUAACGGAAGACUAAAUACGGACACGUGGCACAAUCUUAUCCGUCGAUCCGAUAUUUAAUAGAUGUCGGAUCUGUGGAUAAGAUUAUGACACGUGUAUGUCCAUUAGUAUAUAGGGUAUAUAUAUAUGCUCUAGUUUUUAAACGGCAGGGGCACCAAUGUCCCAAAAAUAUGAUGGAGGGUAUCUGCAUACCAUUUACGAUAGUUCGCAGGUAUAUUUGUUAUUUUUCCCAACAUAAUUUGGCUAUGGAGCGCAAAAGGCAAAACUGUAGCUAUAGUUUGCUAAUAUGAUUUUUAUCUUUGCUAUUCUUAAAAUUUACUUAUUAUAUUCUAAAUGACUUGAUAGUAUAAAAAUUCUUUUACAUUAGUUAAAUUAUUGUGAUUAAUUAUGUUAAAGCAAUUCUUAGAUUCUUAUAAUCCAUUGUCGUUGGUUUAUCUUUAUCUAUUAACAUUUAAUCUUUAUUUGACUUAUAAUUAGUGAUAGAACUAAAUGAUUGUUUAUCCCGAUUUAUAGCAUUUUCCCCCUUAUCUUGACCAGUAAUUCCUCUUUAAUUAGCAAUGUUUCACUUGUGAAUUAAUCAAUUGUUAUCUUCAAUUUAUAAUUAGUUACGUAUUAUAUAGAGUGUCCCAGAACACUGGGACAUUCUCAAAUUCUAUCCUUAAUUAUCUUAUUAUUCAUGUUAAUUUAUAAUUAAUCAUAUAUCUUCUUUUAAUCUCCAACAUCUGCUACACAAGUACAAAGAGCCAACAUUAAUCCUGGUAUUUAUUCAUAUCAUUAUUUUCUGCAAAUGAAUUAUGAUUACAAUAAUACUCUUUAUUUUAAACACGCAAAUUUUUGAGGAAUGUUCUUCUUGGAAUGUUGUCAGAAAUAUGAAAUUUUCGAUGAAAAUUCUGUCGGAAAUGUCUCUGAGGAGCCAAUUUCUUGAUGGAUUUCAUCGAGAAUUCGCGUGUAACUUUUUUGUUAUUUGCUUAUGUAUUAUAAAAAUAUUCAAAAGUUAUUGAUAUUUUAAAAGUUUUUUUUUUUUGCAUUACUGAAACACGCAAAUUUUCGAGGGCUAUUCUUGUGGGAAUAUUGUCAGAAAUAUGAAUUUUUUUUAUGGAAAUUCUGUCGCAAAUGUCUCCAACAAAGUCAAUUUUUUUUUAUGGAUUUUCACGUGUAACUUUUUUGUUAUUUAUUUAUUUAGUAUGACAAUAUUCAAAAGUUAUUGAUAUUUUAAAAGAUAUAAUGAUUCUAAAAAAUAGGAAUUGUUGUUGGUAUUUUCAAAUAUGAGAAAAUAAAGAUCAUACAAAAACAACAACAAAAGUUAAUUUUUUUUUGUCGGAACUGACUUUUUUAUGUUAUAUUUUUAUUGUUUUUUAACAAUUUUUUAAAUCUAUAACAAUAACAUUCAUCUUUGCGUUGGGAUGAAAUAACACAAAGUUUGAAUUAUAAAUUUUAUCCUGAAUUUAGCUAUAUCUUUCGCUAAAUAAAGUAUAAAUUUACUUUCAAACGUAAUUCUGAAUUAUCUCACCUUAUUUUAUGCACCAAAUGACCGACCCCCGUACCUCAUUUAUAUCUUUUCCUUAUUCAUGAAAAAAAGCACAUCGAUGCACUACAACAAAAAUAACAUUUAGCGGCAAUAAAUAUACACAUUAUUAAAAACUGUUAAAAUAUUUCCGAUAUCAGUUAAUUGUCAUUGGAUGAAUUAAUUUAUUAUAUACUCCAUUCCGCUUCUACAUGUAACUAGCUAGUCAUAUUACAUGCUAAACAAAUUUCUUCUUUCUUUCUUUUGCAAAAAUAGCCAGUUAUAAAAAUUGAGAUUAACAAAUACACUCUUCGUUUAACAAUAGUUGUCCAUUAUACUAAAAACAGUUGUUCAAUAAUAUUUGUCCAAUUUAGAAAAUCAAGUGAUAAUUUACCAUUUGUGUCAAUUUUAACCUUGCUAUUAAAUACUUUUUAUCAUCUAACACAUUUCUCAGAACAUUAAAUUUAAUAAAGUCAAAGGAUAAUAUAGUAAUAUUAAGCCCUAUUAUUUAUUGUUUCUUAAGGAGUGUGUCAAGUCAACAGACAACAGUGUACACAUAUUACCUACUAUAACAAUCCUUUUAUUCUUCUAUAAAUACAUGCAUAAACUCCUCAUGCUAAUCAAAUUCCCCCUAAAAAAAAAUUAAUUUUUUUUUCUUUGCAGAAAUAGCCACUUAUAAUGGGUUCUCCAAAGUCUUUACAUGGAGUGAACUUUGCACCACCACGUAGCUUUGGGACAGUUCUUAAAGCAAAUUUGAAAGAAACACUAUUUCCAGAUGAUCCAUUUUAUGAAUUCAAGAAUGAAAAAUUAUCAAAAAGAAUUUUAAAGGGAAUUCAAUAUUUUGUACCAAUUUGUCAAUGGUUACCAAAAUACAAUUUUGGGCUAUUUAAGUUUGAUCUUCUUGCUGGAAUUACAAUUGCUAGUCUUGCAAUCCCACAAGGAAUAAGCUAUGCAAAACUUGCUGAACUUCCUCCAAUUAUCGGACUCUGUAAGUUACAUACACUGACAGUAUAUACUCGUUCAUGUUUAUUAAUUAUUACUACUCCCUCCUUACCAAAAAAAAAAAAAAAUGGUCUUAGUUACUAUUUAAACGGUCAAAAGCAUAUAUAUUUUUUAAGAUUUUGUAAUAUUUUGAAUUGUUGACUAGUUUGACUUAUAUUAGUACUUUUUAUAUUUAUUCUAAAUAUGUAUAUUUAUUUUAAACAGAUUCUAUGUCUGAAUUCACACGGAAUAUAAUAUUAGUUAAUUUGACCCUCGACAAUCUUUUUUGAACGGAGGGAGUAAUAUUUUGUACAUUAUUUGUGUAACUUAAACUUUUUAUAGCACAUUACGUACUACUUAUUAUCGAUUACUCAUCAAUUUUAUUAGAUAGAGGUAUAUAUGAAUUGAAGAAGAAAAAUAAAUAGUUUUUCAUCCAGUAGAGAUUGAUCGAGAAUUUAAAGUAUAUGGGGUACCUACAUUGAUUUAACGUUAUUAUACAAUAAUAACUUGGUUCACAGUAAAAUAUUUAUAGAUUUUUAAUACAAAUUAUUGAUUAAUUGGUUACUUAAUUUAUAUAAAUGAUUUUUUUUGCAGAUUCAAGUUUUGUUCCUCCUCUAAUUUAUGCAAUUUUUGGGAGUUCAAAACAUCUUGCUGUUGGAACAGUGGCAACUUGUUCAUUGAUUAUGGCUGAAUCAAUUCAACAAAAAGUUAAGCCUGAAGACAAUAUGCAAUUGUAUGUUGGUUUGUUCUACACAGCCACCCUUAUAUCUGGUUUGCUACAAACAGCUUUGGGGGUAUUCAGGUAAUUAUACACACCAAACCAGUCGUUUAACUUUUAUAUACUGACAAAUAGAAAAAAAAAUUGUAUAUUAAAAUUAUGUUGAUUGGACUCUUCGAAUAUGUCAAUGAUUGCGUGUUGAAUCAACCAAAAAUAAUAGAGAAAAUGGUCAAAUGCCCCCUAACUUAUAUUCGCAUUUCCAACUACACACUUCAAUUUUACGGUUGUCCUAUUAUCCAUCCUUAACCAGAGGUCUUGAGCCUUCAGUAGAGAUCAUAAAUCUUGAUAGGGAACAUAUACUCCUCUAAUGAGCCUUUUGGGGCGUGAAUUCAAAUUAUUUGAAAUCUCAGAACGAGUAUCAACCAUCGAAUGGAAAAAUUAUUUACAUCUAUCAUCUAAUUAGUUUUUUUUUUUUUUUUUUUGGUGUGUGUGUGUGAUGUAGGCUUGGAUUUUUGGUUGAUUUUCUAUCACAUUCAACAAUUACUGGAUUUAUGGGAGGGACAGCACUUGUUAUUUGCCUACAACAAUUGAAGGGCAUGCUUGGCUUGAAGCAUUUCACUAGCCAUACUGAUGUUGUUCAUGUUUUACGUGCUGUUUUUGAAAACAGAAAAGAGGUUAGUUAAUUUUAUAGAGUAAAAAAUAGUUUGGUGCACAAAAUAUUCUACGUUCACGUAGGGUUCGAGGAAUAAUCGCACUUCAAGGUGUGUGAUUAGACAGUCCACCCUAAUACAAACAUUAGUGUUUGCUUUUAUGGUUCGUGUCCAUAAACUAUACGUCACACAAAGACAAAUUUCAUAGAGUAUUUAACUAAAUUAAUUCUAUGUAGGAUCGAAAUUUUGGUCCGUUAUUUCUUUUUGUGUUCGGCUGUUUAGUAAAUGACUCUCUUUUUACUUGCCUUGUAAUUUAUGGACCUUUUAGGUCAUGACGGUCUAAAGAUUUCUUUUGAGCAAAUUAAAAAUCUUACGAAAAGAACUUUAGAUCACAUUAUAAAAUAGUUUAGACGUUAAAAGACAGUCUAAUAUUUUGUCAAUUACAAAGACUAUAUUUGCAUAACUUUCUAAAUAAGAAUAAAUAAAUUUAAAUGAUGACCUAAAAGAGGAUAUUUGCGUAAAUCAGACCAUGUUCAAUAUAUAAGGAAAAAUUAAAAAUGUAUUAAGCCAAAUUUCACACACAAAAAGAUUCUAUUUUUUUUUUUUUACCAAUGUGAUUUAUUUAUUUUAAUUUUUUUUUGCUUUGAUACUGACUUGAUUUUUUUUUCUAUUUUCUAUUUAUAUAUAAACAGUGGACAUGGCAGUGUGCAGUUGUUGGAGUAAUCUUCCUUACUUUCUUACAAUUAUCUAGAUAUGUGGUAAGUUUUUUUAUACGAUAUUUUAAUUUAUAUAUACUGACAGUAUAAAAAAUAAUUUUAAAUUAACCAAAAAAAAUAUUUUUUUUGCAGAGAAAAAAGAAACCAAAUCUAUUUUGGGUUUCAGCCAUUGCUCCAAUAAUUGUUGUUGUAGUUGGCUGCCUUUUUGCUUAUUUAUUCAAUGCUGAAAAACAUGGCAUAGCUAUUGUAAGUUAAAUUGCCCUCUCUUUUUAAAAAAAAAAAAAAUUCAUUUUGGAUAUUUUUAUUAAAUAUGAUCGCGAAAAAUAAUCAUAUGAGAAAUUGUCUGAUGAAGAGUUCCCUAGCUAGACGAUUUUUCAUGUGAAAUGACUUAUAAAAUAAUAGCAUGACAUAUUGACAUGAGUCAUUUCGAGUUUAAAAUUUAGAACUUCUUUACCAUAUGUUAUCUUAUAUUUGAUUUUAAUUUUAAUUUUUUUUUAAAACUCAAUGCAGGUGGGAAAAUUGAGUAAAGGAAUUAAUCCACCCUCUCUUAAUCUUAUAAAUUUUAGUCCAGAAUAUAUAUCUGUUGUUUUAAAAGCUGGGAUCGUUACAGCUAUGGUUUCACUAGCAGUAAGUACAUUUUAAUUAUUCUCGCUUUUUAUGCACUUUUGAUUUUCUCUUUCCAAAUUGCUCUAUCGAAAACAACAUUAGUAUGCAUAUACGUUAUACAUUAUCCUUUCUAGAUUUACGUGUGAGAAUAUUACAUCGAGUAUGUUGUUGAUGUUAUUCAAUUAUUAUUUUUGUUUUUUGCAAUGGGAUAUUUUAUAGGAAGGAAUAGCUAUUGGAAGGAGUUUCUCUAUGAUGGAUAAUGAACAAAUUGAUGGCAACAAAGAGAUGGUAGCCAUUGGACUCAUGAAUAUUGUUGGCUCUUUAACUUCUUGCUACUUAAGUACAGGUAAUUAAUUUCUUUGUUAUAAAUCAAAUAUUAAAUUCUGAACUCAUCUAUUCAAAAAUUUUAUUUGGAACUCAUAAAGUUUAAAUCUUGGAUCUGUCUCUCGCGACAAAUAAAUUACACUUCCUACUAAGAAGCGAGUGAGAGUUAGCAUCUCACAGAGGUUGAGUCAGAAUUUUUAGUUUAUGGAAUCUGGAUCACAUCUUUUUGUUUACUAACUUCUCGAUAGAUCAUUUAUACAUAUUAAAAUAAAUAUUUCAACACUAAUACAAGGUUUAAGUCAAAGUUAUUGUGUUCUAAUGAACCAAAACUAUCACUUACGACUAACAUAUAUGUCCCUAGUUAGUAAGUAGUUUCUUUAACUUUUUUAUACACUGAUAGUAUACCGUAAACAUCUACUAAUGAUUUUUUCAUAUUUUUUUAUUAGGGCCAUUUUCAAAAACAGCAGUGAACCACAAUGCUGGAUGCAGGAGCCAAAUGUCAAAUGUAGUUAUGUCAUUGUGCAUGUUGCUAACUUUAUUGUUUUUGGCUCCACUUUUUGGCUACACACCACUUGUUGCCUUGGCUGCUAUCAUCAUGUCAGCAAUGCUUGGGUUAAUUGACUAUGAGAAGGCAUAUCACCUCUACAAGACUGACAAAUUUGAUUUCUUGAUUUGUAUGGCUGCUUUCUUUGGUGUUGCCUUCAUUAGCAUGGACAUGGGACUCAUGAUGUCGGUACGUAAGCAAAAAAAUAUUAUUAUUAUUAUUCAGAAUUUUGUUCAGACCCCAGUCGUGAAACUACAUUAAGUAUCUUCUUCUUAUUGUUAUUACUUGGGAUCUGAUUGAUACAACAAAAGUCAUUUUCUAGUGAUUGACCAUAAGAAAAACACUUCUCAUCAAAUGGAAAGAAAUUACUAGGUAAAAUUCAUAAAUAACCGUGUUUUAGUCCUUCUGAUUGAAAAGUAGUCAUUAUCGUGAGCUUUAAAUUUUACAAAAUGUUUCUAUAGUUCCACAUUCUUCAAAACACUAUUUAGUUCUUUUUCUUGUCCAUCAAACUAUUUUUUAGGAAUAUAUAUUUAGUGAAAAUGACUUUUAUCAUAUUAAACAUGGUAAAAACUUACGCUUACUCGAUAUAUGAUUACUUUUUUUGUAGGUUGGACUUGCCUUGGUAAGGGCACUUCUAUAUGUUGCUAGGCCACCUACUUGCAAACUUGGAACCAUUACAAAUACUGCAUUUCGUGACGUAGAACAAUAUCCUGGUUCUAAACAAACUCCAGGAAUGUUGAUUUUGAAGCUUGGUUCUCCAAUUUACUUCCCUAAUAGCAAUUAUGUUAGAGAAAGGUAAGAAAUCUCUCUGUAAUAACGUCGUUAUAGGGCAAAUUGCUAUUCACCAUUUAUAAUAUAGAGGCAUAUACUAUAUAGAUCAUAGGCAUCUUAACUUGGCAUCAACUGAAAACUAAACCUUCCGUCUUUGAUGAUGCAGAUCUAGACACCUAAGUUCGUUUUCAUCAUGUCUGUUGAACACUCCAACUUAUAAAAUAAUCGUCUAGACACCUCUAAAAUUUAUGUAUCACGUCAGCGGUCACUACUAAAAGUCAUUAUUUUCCCAUUGAAAUUUCCCACCGGAAAAUGCUCAGUGGUUAUUCCCACACAUAUAUAUGGUAGCUAGAUAUGCAUCCCUAAAGUUGAUGUGUUUACUUGUCAGUUGCAAGUUUGAGUGUCUCUAUAUAUAUUAUGUCGAUGCUAUAACAUAAUAUGAAAAACUUGAUAUAAAAAAAAACUUGACCGUUAUGAUAAAAUAUUAUUAUAACAUAUGAUCAUUAUAGAGAGAUCCGACUUUGAACAUCUUUAUGAAUUUCCAAAGUUUUAAUUAUUUUUCUAAUGGUAAGAUGCUAUUUUUGAUGGAUAUAUUGAGCAGGAUUCUCAGAUGGGUUAGAGAUGAGCAAUCUCUUGAAAAUUCCAAAAGAAAUGAGAUUGAAUACUUGAUACUUGAUUUUGGAGGUAUGAUUUAUGAGCUUAAAAUUAUUUAUUUGAGUUAUGACUACUUAACAAAUAAAAGGUAUAGUUAUUUAAAAGAGAAACUUAAUAAAAGGUCUUUCAGAAUUUUAUUUUAUUUAUUUAUUUUUCAAUAUGUUACUAAAUCAAAGAAAAUUUUAAUGACAAUAUUGUAGGUGUUACAUCAAUUGACAUAACUGGUGUUGAAACUUUAUUUGAAACUCGUAGAUCACUAGCAGCAAAAUCCAUCAAGGUAUGAAUAAUCAUACACUUUCUCAUUAUUAUUUACUCCUUUUACGUUUGCUUCUCGAGAGUCAAAUUACAUCUACUUUUACCAAGAUUUUGAAGAAGUAUUUUUUAACAUGAAAAGGAUUACAACUUACAAUAUUUUCGUAUAAUUUUCAAACAUCAAUUAAACAACUGACUAUCUCGUGUAGCAAAACGUAACAAGUAAAAGUUCUGAAAGGAGAUUAUAUAGUGUUGGAAAUUCACAAACUUUCUAACAUGCUUUUUUUUUUUUGUAUAGAUUAUAUUGGUUAAUCCAAGAUUAGGGGUGAUGGAAAAAUUAAUUGUGACAAGAUUUAUUGAUGUGAUUGGGAAAGAGUCAGUGUUUUUAACAAUUGAAGAAGCAAUUGAAAGUUGCAGAUUUUCACUAAAUUCUUCAAGUCAGACAAAAAGAGAAGAUGUGGAAAUUGCUUAGUCUACAAACAAAUUCAUUAUGCAAUAUUUUAUUUACAAAAGGAGGGAAAAAAAUAGUUUUAAUUUCUGCCAAUUGAACUCUUUUUUUCUUUUUUUUUUUAAUGUUUUUCUACCUUUCUUCCGUUUGUUUGUUAGAAUAGAUUUUGUAACUUUGAUUUUCAAUAGUUUUAUUAUCUUGUUCUUUUCUUUUCUUUUUUGGUAUAAAUAAACUUCUUGAUAGAGUUUAUAAGCUAUAUGACUGAAGUCUAUGAGAAGAAUAACUAUAUUUUUUAGCACGUCUUUUCAUAUUAGCCAAAAAAUAAAUUAUUUAUGUUUGUGGCCUUUGCUCGAUAGAAAAUCAGCACAUUAGUUUGUCUUUCUAUAUAUAUGAUAGUGGCUUUGUUUACUUUCGAUUAAAAAAAAAAAGACUACCCCAAAUUUUUGUUUUUCAACUUUUUAUUGCAUAAAAGAUAAUUUAAAAAAAUGAGAGAAUAGAAAGUGUGUACAUUUUAAAUUUCUCAUAUUCCAGGUUCACAAUAGUUUUUCUUAUGUUUCAAUUAGUGCUAAAGUUAUGUUUCUAAUACAAUAUAUUUUACUAAUUGCUUUUUGGUUGUUAUAAAUAAUAAAUACAUAGAUAGAUAUUUGCAUUAGGUUAUUAUUGUAAAGAGAUAAUUUCACAAAGAAACUACCGUUAAUAAUGACAAUUGUUUAGUGUUAUAAGAAGAAGAAAAAAAGCUUAUAACAAAGUGGAGACUAAAAUUUGAGAUAACAACAUCUCUAGAUAAUUUCAAAAGCAGCGUCGGACGAGAAUGGUGUGUAGGUAGCUUUACCCUUAAAUCUAUUUAUACGGAGAGAGAAGGAGAGAAGUAAUUGGUGUGCUUGAAGAAAUGUUGUCAGAAAUAUGAAAUUUUCAAUGAAAAUUCUGUCAAAAUGUCUCAAAGAAGCCAAUUUUUUGAUGGAUUUCGUCAGAAAUUCACGUUUAACUUUUUUGUUAUUUGCUUAUCUAGAAUAACAAUAUUCAAAAGUUAUGGGUAUUUUAAAAGAUAUAUUGAUUCUGAAAAUAGGAAUUGUUGUUGGUAUUUUCAAACGUGAGAGAAUAAAUAUCAUACAAAAACAACAACUAGAGUUAAAAAAAAUAUAUUCUCGGAACUGACUUUUUAUGUUACAUUUUAUCGUUUUCUAACGGUUUUAAAAAAUUUAUAACAAUAUUCUUCUUUGAGGUGAGAUAAAAUAACACAAAAUUUGAAGUAUAAAUUUUAUCCUAGAUUUAGCUAUAUCUUCAACUAAAUAAAGUACAAAUUUAAUUUCGAACGUAAUUCUGAAUUAUCUCACUUUAUUUUAUUUUAUGCACCAAAUGAAUAAAACCCUCAUAUUUAUAUAUAUCUUUUCCCUAUUCAUGAAAAAGCACAUCGAUGCACUAUAACAAAAAAAAAUAACAUUUAGCGAUAAUAAAUACAUUUGUUAUAUAUGAAUUGUCUAUAUUAAUAUGAGAAUCUUGAUUAGUUAUAUGAUGCAAAACCUUAAACCUUAAUUAAAGAUGAAAGUUUUAUAUAUGAAUUAUCUGAAUCUUAAUUAGUUAUAUGAUGCAAAACCUUAAACCUUAAUUAAAGAUGAAUUUUGUAGUUUAUUUCUGCUUUUUUCUCUCUUUCUUUGUGGUGUUGAAUUAAAUUUUAGGGUAAAAUGAUUUUACAUAGAUGCGUAUAUUUAUGUGCUUUUACAAAGUCUAGAUUAGUUUCAUUUUUUCUAGCAUUAUAUUUUUUACCCUAGAUCAAAAAAGUAAUAGAUUCAGAUGAAUCGAUACACUAUAUAAGACAUUCCACUUCCACAUAUAACUUGUCACAUUAUUACACAUACUAAUUAAUUAACAACUUUCUUAUAAUCAUGAGUUCUCCAAAGUCUUUACAUGGAGUGAACUAUGCACCACCACGAAGCUUUAAGACAGUUCUUAAAGCAAAUCUCAAAGAAACACUAUUUCCAGAUGAUCCAUUUCAUGAAUUCAAGAAUGAAAAAUUAUCAAAAAGAAUUUUAAAGGGAAUUCAAUAUUUUGUACCAAUUUGUCAAUGGUUACCAAAAUACAAGUUUGGGUUAUUUAUGUAUGAUCUUCUUGCUGGAAUUACAAUUGCUAGUCUUGCAAUCCCACAAGGAAUAAGUUAUGCAAAACUUGCUGAACUUCCUCCCAUUAUCGGACUCUGUAAGUUACAUACACUAACAGUAUAUUACUAUUUGAACAGUCAAAACCAACAUAUUUUUAAAAAGAUUUUGAACUGUUAACUAUUGUAACUUAUAUUACUUUUUAUGUUUAUUCUAAAUAUGUAAAAUUUUAUUUUUAAAAAAAUUAAAGAUUCUAUAUCUGAAUUCACACUGAAUAUUAGUUAAUUUGACCCUCGUAUUUUAGAUCAAGACAAUCUUUUUUUCAGACGGAGGGAGUAAUACUUUGUACAUUAAACUUUUUAUAGCACAUUACGCGAGAGGCGUAGCUAUAAUUAGUCAAUAAGUGAUCUGAUUGUGUAAAUAUUUUUAAAUAAGUAACAUGACUAACUUGUUAUGACAAAUUAUUAAUUUUUUUGCAGAUUCAAGUUUUGUUCCCCCUCUAAUUUAUGCUAUUUUUGGGAGUUCAAAACAUCUUGCUGUUGGAACAGUAGCAACUUGUUCAUUGAUUAUUGCUGAAGCAGUUCAACAUAAAGUUAAGCCUGAAGACAAUAUGGAAUUAUAUGUUGGUUUGUUUUACACAGCUGCCCUUAUAUCUGGUUUGCUACAAACAGCUUUGGGGGUACUAAGGUAAUUAUACAUACCAGUCGUUUAACUUUUAUAUACUGACAGUUAAAAAAAAAAUAUUGUAUUUUCAAAAAAUCUUCUAAUAUGUCAAUGAUUGCAUGUUGAAUCAACCAAAAAUAAUACAUUUUGUUUUUGGAGGAUUCGACAUGAAAGCAAUAACUUAUUUUAAGAGUCUGAGCAAUAUAAUUUUUUGAUCACUAAAAUGUUACCCCUAUAAUGAGUCUUUUGGGGUGCGAAUUUGAAAUAUCAAAAUGAGUAUCGAACAUCGAAUGAAUUAAUUUAUUUUUUGUGUGUGUGUGAUGUAGGCUUGGAUUUUUGGUGGAUUUUCUAUCACAUUCAACAAUUACUGGAUUUAUGGGAGGGACAGCAUUAAUUAUUUGCUUACAACAAUUGAAAGGCAUGCUUGGCUUAAAGCAUUUCACUAGUCGUACUGAUGUUUAUCAUGUUUUACGUGCUGUUAUUGAAAAUAGAAAAGAGGUUAGUUAAUUUUAAUUAAUUUGAUAAAGUGAUCAUUUUAUAGUCUGGUGCACAAAGUAUUUACGUUCAUAUAGAAUUCAAGGAAUUGAACGACUGCACUUCAAGGGGUGUGAUUAGACAGUACCCUAAUGCAAACAUAAAUGGUUAUUUUUAUGGUACAAGCUCGUAACCUAUAUAUCACACAAAGAUACUAACUUGAUAUUUUUUUUCGUUCUAUUUAUAUAUAAAAAAAACCCAGUGGACAUGGCAGUGUGCAGUUGUUGGAGUAAUCUUCCUUGCUUUCCUACAAUUAUCUAGAUAUGUGGUAAGUUUUUUUUAUACGAUAUUUUAAUUUAUAUACAUUGACAGUGUAAUUUUUUUUAUUUAAAUUAACAAUUUUUUUUUUUAAUUUGCAGAGAAAGAAGAAACCAAAUCUAUUUUGGGUUUCAGCCAUUUCUCCAAUACUUGUUGUUGUAGUUGGCUGCCUUUUUGCAUAUUUUUUCAAUGCUGAGAAACAUGGCAUAGCUAUUGUAAGUUAAAUUGCCCUCUUUUUUUUAUAAAAAAAAAAAAUUGGAUAUUUUUAUUAAAUAUGAUCAAUUUCGCGAAAAUAAUCUUAUGAGAAAGUGUCAGAUGAAGAGUUCCCUAGCUAGACGAUUUUUCAUGUGGAAUGAAUUAUAAAAUAAUGUCAUAUUGACAUGUCAGCUUACACUAUUUUGACCUAUUCUAACUCGAGUUUGAUGAGUCAUUUCAAGUUAAAAAUUUAUAUCAUUUUUACCAUAUGUUUUCUUAUAUUUGAUUUUACAAAAUUAAUUUAUUAUUUUUUUGAACUCAAUGCAGGUGGGAAAAUUGAAUAAAGGAAUUAAUCCAUCCUCCAUUCAUCUUAUAAAUUUUAGUCCAGAAUAUCUACCUGCUGUUGUAAAAGCUGGGAUCAUUACAGCUAUGAUUGCAAUAGCAGUAAGUACAUUUUAAUUACUCUCGUAGUUUUUUAUUCUUCGAUUAAUUCUGUUAUUUCUUGUGCUUCGUUAUCAUAUUAUUUUAUCGUUGUUACUGUUAUUUAUGCACUUUUUAUUUUCUCUUUCCAAAUUGCUCAAUCGAAAACAACAUUAGUAUGCAUAUAUAGACAUUAUACACUAUCCUCCCCAGAUUUUACGUGUGAGAAUAUUACAUAGAGUAUAUUGUUGAUGUUAUUCAAUUAUUUUUUUUGUAAUAUUUAUAGGAAGGGAUAGCUAUUGGGAGGAGUUUUGCUAUCAUGGAUAAUGAACAAAUUGAUGGUAACAAAGAGAUGGUAGCCAUUGGACUCAUGAAUAUUGUUGGCUCUUUAACUUCUUGCUACUUAAGUACAGGUAAUUAAUUUAACUUUUAUACACUGACAGUAUAACGUAAACAUGUACUAAUGAUUUUUUUCGUAUUUUUUUAUUAGGGCCAUUUUCAAAAACAGCAGUGAACUACAAUGCUGGAUGCAAGAGCCAAAUGUCAAAUGUAGUUAUGUCAUUGUGCAUGUUGCUAACUUUAUUGUUUUUGGCACCACUUUUUGGCUACACACCACUUGUUGCCUUGGCUGCUAUCAUUAUGUCAGCUAUGAUUGGGUUAAUGGACUAUGAAAAGGCUGUUCACCUUUACAAGACUGACAAAUUUGAUUUCUUGAUUUGUAUGGUUGCUUUCUUUGGUGUUGCCUUCAUUAGCAUGGACAUGGGACUCAUCCUCUCGGUACGUAAUCAAAAAAUAUUAUUAUUUGAAUUUUCAAUUCAGAUCCUAGUCGUGAAAUUACACUAAGUAUCUUUUUUGGGAUCUGAUUGAUACGACAAAAGUCAUGGAAUAACCAUUUUUUAGUCCUUCUAAUUGAAAAAUAGUCAUUAUCGUAACUUGUGACCUUCUAUCAUACUAAACAUGGUAAAAACUUACGCGUACUCGAUAUUUUUUUAUUUUUUGUAGGUUGGACUUGCCUUGAUAAGGGCACUUCUAUAUGUUGCUAGGCCACCAACAUGCAAACUUGGAACUAUAACAAAUACAGCAUUUCGUGACAUAGAACAAUAUCCUGGUUCUAAUGAAACUCCAGGAAUGUUGAUUUUGAAACUUGGUUCUCCAAUUUACUUCCCAAAUAGCAAUUAUGUAAGAGAAAGGUAAGAAAUCUCUCUGUAAUAACGUUAUUUGUCUGGAUAUUAUUUUGUUGUUAUAGUGCAAAUUGUUAUAUACACAACUUAUAUUGAACUAAUGGUAAGAUGUUUUUUUUUAUGAAUAUAUUGAACAGGAUUCUAAGAUGGGUUAGAGAUGAGCAAUCUCUUGAAAAUUCCCAAAGAAAUGAGAUUGAAUACUUGUUACUUGAUUUUGGAGGUAUGAUUUAUGAGCUUAAAAUUCACAAAUAAAAACGCAAGGACGACUCAAUAAAAUUAGUUAUUUAAAAGAAAAAUUUAAUAAAAGGUCUUCCAAAAUUAAUUUAUUUGCUUUUCAAUAUGUUACUAAAGCAAAAAAAAAUUCAAUGACAAUAUUGUAGGUGUUACAUCAAUUGACAUAACUGGUGUUGAAACUUUAAAAGAACUUCGUAGAUGCCUAGCAGCAAAAUCCAUCAAGGUAUGUAUAAUUAUAUACACUUUCUCAUUAUUUACUUCCUCGUUUCACGUUCGCUUCUUGAGAGUCAAACUACGAACUUUCACCAAGAUUUUUAAGAAGUAUUUUUUUCAUCAUAUAAUACGAAAAGGAUUACUAACUUAUAGUAUUUCUCGUAUAAUUAAAUUUUAACAGACUGACUCUCGUAAAGCGAAACGUAACAGGUGUAUAUAUAGUGUUUGAGAUUCACUAACUUUCUAAUAUACUUCUUUUUUGUGUGUAGAUUAUAUUGAUUAAUCCAAGAUUAGGGGUGAUGGAAAAAUUAAUUGCAACAAAAUUUAUUGAUUUGCUUGGGAAAGAAUCAGUGUUUUUAACAAUUGAAGAAGCAAUUGAAAAUUGCAGUUUUUCACUAAAUUCUUCAAGUCAGGCAAAAAGAGAAGAUUUGGAAAUUGCUUAGUCUACAAAGAAAUUCAUUAUUUAGGAGUAGUAUUUUAUUUACAAUAAUAGGAAAAGAAAUAGUUUUAAUUUCUUUUUUAGUGUUUUUCUACCUUUCUUCCAUUUGUUUGUUAGAAUAAAUUUUGUAGCUUUGAUUUUUAAUAUAUUUAUUGUCUUCUUCUUUUUAGUAUAAAUAAACUUCAUUUUUUUCAGCAUGUCUUUUUCAUAUUAGCAAAAAAGAAAAUUAUGUUUGUGGCCUUUAUUCGCUAGAAAAUCAACACUCUAAUUUGUCUUUCUAUAUAUACACGUAUGAUAGUGGUUUUGUUCACUUCCGAUAAAUUUCUACAAUAUUUAAAAAUGAUUCUAAGAGGGUGAUAUUGUAUGUCGAUGUUCUUUUAUAAGCUUGACAACAAGUAAACUGUUUGUCGGAUUCAUUUGAUCCCAAGAAUACUUGGGAAAAACUUGGGAAGUGGUGUUUGGUAAUAUACAAAAAAAAGUAUCCCCAAGUUCCCAAAUACUAGACUAGCUAGAAAAAAUUGGUAUUUGGGCCAAGUUCAAAUAUUUGGGAAUUUUAAAAAAUUCAAAAAUUACCCCAAGCUUUUAUAUUUUAUAAAAAAUACUCAUUAUUUAUUAAUUUCAUUUGUUAGUACCUCCUCUGAAAAAGUUUGAGUUCUAAUUUGAGUGAUAAAAUUGAGAAAAAAGAACAAUUCAUUGAAUAGGUUAUAAUUAUAACUGAAUCAAUGACAAGUUUGAAUAUGUGAUUAAUGUAUUGCUCUUGCAUAUAUUGUUAUUUUGUUGUUGUUGAUUGUUAUAACCAAAAUUUUAAGAACUAAAUAUAUAGUCAUCCUUUCAUUUAAACCAUUUAAGUGACCCGCCCCGACCCACUAAAAAUAUAAUAUUGACCCUUUUAUUUUACUCUUAUUCUCCUAAACUCUUUUUGUCUCCCUAUUCUUUCACGCUUCCAUUUCCGUCAAAUGACCCGGCCUCCCCUGGCUCUUCCACCAUUCGGGCUCCCUUUCCUCCCUAGGGUAUGCUCCCCCCGGCGCAGAGUGUUCUUCUUUUCUUUUUUUAAUUUCUCAAUGUCAGCCUCUUCUUCCCGCAUAUCAAUAAUAUCAACCUCUCUGUUUUUUUUUUGUUUUUUUUUGAAGUUUUCAUAACCUCUUUGUUCUCCAUCAAAAUCAAAUUAUUGUCUUCCCAACUUUAAAAACAAUCAAAAAAAAUAAAUACAACAAUCCCUUAGUUUACAAUUCCAACGUAAAUUUCUAUGUGCCAGACUCUUAAUCUGCAUAACUUCGGCUCUCAAAGCCAAGCGACUUACUAUAAAAAGAGUUGAUAAUUCAGUAAAACAUAAAAGAUAUUAACUCGCUUAAUUUGAAACCUUAUUUGGUACUCUAAUAAAUCAAUCAAUAUCGUUUGAAAAUAAUACAAAGUAAGCAUCAAUUUAGGACAAGAAGUAAAGUUAUAGAACUUAUUCAAACUCUGAAUUUAAACUCAUAUACAAAUAGAAUUGCGAUAAUAAGUCUAUAUACAAAUUUUGCGUACGCUUCUGUUAAUAUUAAUAUUGGAGAGUGAUAAUAAAGCCAAUAGUGUUUAUUAAUAUUAAAAUGAAAUGAUAUCCACAACAAUAAAACAUAUCAUUGCAAUUUUCCUAUUCCAUGAAUUCCAGAGUGACAAAUUCAGUUGUGAAUAGAAGAGAGUGCAGUGCAUCUAUUCGUGACGAUAUAGGUGAUGGGAUGGAUAAAAUUCCUCCAAUUUCGAGUUAGAUCUUUCAAAAUGCAAAAAAAAUCAUUGUAGGGGGCAUUUUCCCCUUCAAUAGGCGUUAACCAGUGCUAAUUUAAAUUAGUCGAAACACCAAAUGAAAUUUUCAACACAAUUCUACUAAAAUACAACAACAUUUUUAAAUCUUAUUUGACUGUUACAGAAAGAAAAAAAAUCCACCCCCAAAUUAUUAUUUUUCAACUUUUUAUGUACAUUUUUAAUUUCUCAUAUUCCUGGUUCACAAUAGUUUUUUUGUGUUUCAAGUGCUAAAGUUAUGUUUAUAACAAAAUAUAAUUCUUUUUGGUUGUUAUAAAUAAUAAAUACAUAGAUGGAUAUUUGCAUAAGGUUAUUAUUAUAAAGAGAUAAUUUCACAAAGAAACUACUGUUAAUAAUGACAGCUGUUUAGUGUUAUAAGAAGAAGAAAAAAGCUUAUAACAAAGUAGAAACUAAAAUUUGAGAUAACAAGCAUCUCUAGUGUAAUCUCAAAAGCGACGUCUGAGGAGAAUGGUGUGUACGCAGCUUACCCUUAAAUGUAUUUAUACAGAGAGAGAGGAAGAGAAGUAAUUGUGGUGUGCUAUGUCUGCUUAGAUGAUGGACACUUCAAAAAUAUCGCUCGGUUUAGAUCUUACAAAAGCUAUGCAUUUUUUUGAAGAUCCAACACGAGUGCAACUAACAUUUUUUUGGAAGUUCCAAGUAACAUAGCUGGUGAGGCAUGAAAUGAGAGUAUCAACAAUGGAAUUACCUCUUCUUUCAAGCUUGUUAUGGAUUCUUGGUAUGAACUACAACUAUACAAACUGAAAUUCAUGUGGUAAAAACAGCAGUAGCAGCAACAGCAGAAGAAGUAACAGUCAGUUGGGAUAUACUCUCCUGGCUCCCCAUGCAACAAGCUAGCCGCGAUGAUCUCUGUUUCGACCAUAAGAAGUUGGUUUCUGCAUCACCUUAGGAUUGUUGGAGGGGUUCCUCUUCUACAGAAGGUAGAUCUCUGUUCUUGGCGUCAAUUUCAGAUUUGCAGAGGGGGCAAGUCGCAUUAAUCUUCAGCCAUUUAUCUACACAUUGUGUGUGGAAGAAAUGCGAGCAAGGCAAUUCCCUCAGUUCGUCAUUGUCCUCAUAUUUUGCUAAGCAAAUACAACAUGCCUGUUUAGAUUUAACGCAUAAGAGCCCGUUAAGUAGAUGAGACUAAACAACUGAUUAAUUGUGCAAAUUCAAGAUAACUAUUCUCAAACAAAAGUUGAACAGACUCUACAAACUCCUUCCAAAAGUGCAAAUUCACCUAAAUAACAGCUCUGCAAAAUACAUGUAAUAUGUAACAAGCUAAUACCAGACCUUGGGAAGGUCGCAUAAAUCCGAGUUAAUCAAAGAUCCAGUAAAUACAAUUAGAUAUAUCCUCUUAGAUUGUUUUGAUAUGUGUGAAUAACUAACAAUGAUUAAUACGUGGUCCAAUAUCUAAAACCUAUUUCAUGUAUAUUAGUAUUAGGUUUGUCACCUGUGUAGAAACAUGAAUGCCAAGACGUAAUAACUGAAAUCUGAUACUAUCUCAAUGAUAAGUUUAAGGUCACAUGCUAUUUCCUAAGCUAUAAAGACUAACUUCUUCAGAAAAAAUGCAUUAUCUCUUCUAGUAUUUCGAAAACUUCCAUACGCGUUACAUAUUUCCUGAUCUACUGAAUGCCUGACUGGUAACAUUGGCAAAUCAGAUCAUUCAUUCUCCUCCUUUCCCUUUGCACUUUGGAUAGUUUUUACUAAGCAUAAUAUGUGUGAAUAUUUUUUUCUCACCAGGCCAAUAAUGCUGUUUUCCAUGUAUCCCUGUUUUUUGGCAAGUAAAACAAACUUCUACAAAACCAGAUCAAGUAAAACAACAAAAAAUCCAGUGUAAUUUUACGAGUGAGGGCUGGGGAGAGUGGUGUCUACACAGACCUUACCCCUACCUUGGAAUGUAGGCUGUUUCUGAAAGACCCUCGCCUCAAAUAAAGUAAUUUAAAGCAAAUAAUGAAGAACAGAACAGUAGACAUAGCAAAUAAUAUGAUAACGGAAGCAAAAGAAAACAACAGAUGAUAAUAAAAAUCGAAUAAUAAGAUAAUAAGGGAGUGAUAAUAAAGCAAAGGAGACAAAAAAGUAAUAAUAAAAAACAUGUAUUUAUUGGUCGUCCUUGAAGGAGAAAAAACUACAAAACAUGGGGUAUUAAGAAAAAAAAAUGAUCACGAAAAAAGAAACUACAUGAAAUACUUUAUAUGUUGAUUUUCAACAUCAAACGCAAUUAGUACUUAAAACAGUCAUUUAUUGACUCCUUGAUAGUGCUAAUCCUAAGGGGAAAUAGCAGUCAUGGAAAAUGGGAACGCAGCCUGUUUGCAUAUAAUGGAUUGAUUGAAAUAGCACACAUACAAAUAUUUUAGCUUAGGUAAGAUGCAAAUAACAUCAAAUCAAGAAGAAAAAACUACUUUCUGUGAGACUGUUUCCCAGAAACUCAAUUUCCGAAUCCCAAAGGCUAUGAAUAGAAAGAUGAACUUACCGCAUCUUCGCCUGAUAUGGCACGUUCCUUCUCUGUGCCUGCGGCUACACAACCACCUUCCUCCUCUCCUAGAUUUUUACUUUCAUUACUGCCAGUUCCAUCUGUCUUGACCCUGUACUUGAGUGUGGGAAGAGCGUUGAUGGACUCUUCUGUGGCUCCUCUCACUCCAUGCAUAUUCUCACGCACACCGAGGAUUGAAAUGAUACAAGGCAGGCAGCAGCAUAUCAUCGCACACAAGAUGAAAGGCAUAGCAUAUCCAAUGCAACUAAUGGUAAGAAAAGCUAUACAUAAUCUGCAAAGUAUGUGGAUCUUAUGUUAGUUUUGGUGAUACCGGUGUAGCAAAGGAAGAACAAAUAAAUAAAAAGGAAACAAUUGUACCUGUACAGAUUGGGAGCCUCAGAAGAAGACGAGUGGCCCCCAAAGAUCCAAACAUUGCCAACAACAAACCACACAGCAAAGAAGCAAUCCAAGGCCAUCUUGAAAUGAUCUACCAGUGAACCAAGUCUGGGAAAAAGGAAGCAUCAAUGCACGGUGAAUAAUACUAUCAAUGAUAUAAGACAGAUUCCAAGAUCAUGGUACUGAAGCGUAGGGGUGGUAAAAUUAGUUAAUGAAAAUAUGACCCACCCAUUUAUUACUCAGCCCAUGUCGACUUCCCAAGUUCAGUCCAUCUAAAGAAUGGGCUGAUAUGGGCCAAGUAUGCAGGCUAAAUUCACCCAUGAGAUACCUUGUCAAAAUAUUUAAAUUAAUUUUCUUUCCUUGAUAUGUUAUAUAGCUAAGAUAAAGAAAAAGAUUUACUGUAUUAGUUUGCAAAUUUUAAGAAAAUAAAAAAAUAAAAUUAAAACUUGGUAAGAGUUGGGUGAGUUGGAUUACGAACUCAUUAUUUAGCCCUUUUCGACCCAACCCCCAUCUCAGCCCAAGUAUCUUAGGGUUGGUCAAUGACCCAUUUAUCAAUUCAGCCAUUUAGACUCGUCCAAAUUCAGCCCAAACCGCUCAUUUGUCAACCCUAUUGAGGAGAUACUAACUACAUUUCCAUGAGAAUAUCCACAUGGCUGUGAAAGGAUUUGGAAGACAGAAAAACUGAAGUAUUCUUGGAUACACUUUUUAUAACAUAAUUAAAGGAAUUGGAGAAAGGAUAAAAACCUUUAAAUGAAAAACGCUAAAAUUUCAAGUUACUCAUGAAGCAAUUGUACCUAGAAAGUCAUCUGGUCAAAAGUCAUUCAAGCUAGCUAAUAUUCUUAGGGCAACAUCUGACUCCAUCCUGAAUUACUAAACAUGCUUAGUUGCCUUUUGGAUUAAUUGUGCCCAACAACAAAAAAGAUAAAGAAGAAAACACAUGGAAGAGAGUAAUGUGCAGAUAUUACCUUGCAUUGCUUUGCCUGGUCCAAAUAUCUGUAGGUGUGUUCCUUCCAUCUUCCUCAUCCGAGGACCGAGUUAAUGAGAUAGUAAUAUAAGAAUUUGGCUCUGCAGUGGAAUUGACUUGGGGUGAAUCUUGACGCAGUUGAACUGAUCUCUGACCGAUGGUUUGGUAACGGAGAAGAUAACGCCAGUACAGUAAAGGAAGGCUUGCUGCACAUCCAGUUGCAUAACCCACAAUCCAAGCAAAUAAUGGAGUUUCUGGGUUUUCCUCUUUUGACAAGGAUAAAACAACAACGGCUGCACCAAUCUGUCCUAAGGUGAAUAUUAGCUCAAUGGAAAGCCACAACAGAGUAUUAAAUGGGCUCCAACGACGAUCAGAACCUUCAGCUCUCCUAGCGGUAGAAGGGCUAUGAGAAUCUGAUUCAUUGGACGAAGAAGAGACGGAAUGUCGAUUUGGUGGUCUAUUUUCAUGGUUGGGUAUAUCCAAUUCAUGAGGAGAAUCAUUAUCAGAUGAACCUGAUGAUGAGGGGACACUUCCUUGUUCUACAUCAAUAACAUGUUCAUUCCUCUCACGACUUUCUGCUUGCUCCAUGAGCAAAGGAAAUCUGUCAGUUGGGUUCUCUUGAGUAAGUUCUUCCGAGGUAACAGCCAUUCAACCAUAAAUCUCAAGGACAAUAUUGCUACUGGUUCAGCUACCACCUUAUACUCACAAGCAAAGCUUACCUGGUGAUUUUAUUUUUAAGAAAGAAAGAAUAAAGGCUGGGUAAGAAAUGAGAAAGCUUACUCGAAUAAAGGCUGGGUAAGAAAUGAGAAAGUUUACUCCUUUAACGAGGAAGGAUCAUUUGCAGAAAAUAGUAUAGUUGAAUUGUUGUAAUAAUAUACGUUAAAAAGUCGGGAAAGUUUACACACAUGCAUAAACAUAACAAGUGGGAGGAGUUGUAUUCAAGAGCAUACAGUUGCCCACAAAUUAGCAUGUACCUUUUAAUUCAUCAAUAACUUUAUUGAUGCUGCAUAUUGUCACUUCAGAAUAAUGUACCAUUUGUAAUGUAUAGAGUACCUAUGAUGACUGCUAAGUGUAGGACAUAAAACAUUCCUUCCUUUUUCCCAGUCUUCUUUUUUCUUUCAGAAAUAUUCCUUCAAUAGGGUCUAUCAGAAUCAGCCUCCUUACCUUCAAGGUAGGGGUAAGGUCUGCGUACACUCUACCCUCCCCAAGCCCCACUUUGUAGGAUUACACUUGGUAUAUUGUUGUUUCUUUGAAAAAUUAUUUCUUCCAAAUUCUUCUCUAACAUCUCACAUAUUACAAGGACAACAUGAGAUGAAUCACUCCAUUGGAUUUGAGGUCAAGCUUCUCAACAAAGAAGGCUUCUAAUGAUUCUAGCAUACUUAGUUUGGUUGGCAGGUGAAACAAACUUAUUGCGACUUAAAUUAAUAUUGCCUUUUCUUUACCCAGAGAAAAAAAAUUCGCCUUCCUAUGAGCAUCAAGAGUUAAUUUUGAAAUAUCCAUGUGAUGCUUAUUGAAAUGUAGUUGUUUGCAUUCUUAGAUACAUAAAAUCAGUUAAUUAGCAAAAGCACCAUUUUAUGAGGGAAUGUGCAUGGCUUAUUUCUCUAUAAAUACAGGUUGGGCGAGAUCACCGUGUGUAAUACACAUCUAUCUCAAGGUAUUGUGGUCUUGUUUGGGAGAAUCUUGUGAAUGGAUGACCGAGAGGUAAAAUUGAGCAGCAAGAUGUAGCACCAAAGUCGAAUAUCAUCUUUUGAACUCUUAUGGAUCAAGCUACUCCAAGAAUUGAAAUCAGAAACCUAAAAUCAGAUGAUUCUCAUUUAUGAAAACUAAGUUGCACUUUGUAACAACAACAUAACCAGUGUAGUCCCACAACGUGGGGUUUGGGGAGGGUAGAGUGUACGCAAACCUUACCUCUACCUCAAAGGUGAGGUAAAGUGGUUGUUUCGAUAGGCCCUCAAGCUCAAGACAAAAACAGUCUAGAAAAAGACAUAAUGAAAGUACAACAGAUGAUAGAUAGUAACAAAAAUAACCGAUAGUACCAGAACAGUACUACAAUUGAACUACACGAAACAAUAGAUAGUAAUAAAAAUCAAAGAACAUGAAACUACAAGAAUAGUCCUACGACAACUAGUAAAGGUAACAAGACAAAGUACUCCUACCUACUAACCUUCUACCCUAAUUCAUGUUCUCCACACCUUCCUAUCUAAGGUCAUGUCCUCGGUAAACUGCAACCAUGUCAUGUCAUGUCUAAUCACUUCUUCCCAAUACUUCUUCGAUCUACUUCUAUCUCUCCUGAAUCCAUCCAUAGCCAACUCAUACUUCCCAAAAAAGACACUUCCAGAAUUCAUUGUCACUGAAUACGCAACGUCAUUAUCAACUCGCAAACAUGUUUACCACACUUGUCCGUCUUCAAACUAGUUACACAUGCAACAAGCUCGCUACAUGCCUACAUCCAACAUACAUGCAUCAAAUUGAGGAGAGUGUUGAGUUCAGUCACAUCUGUAUAUAGAUUAUAUAUUGGUAUGGUAUUCCACAUCGUAAAAGAUUGUAGUUUUAUUAUCUAGAAGACUAGAACAAAGUUCACAAAUGUAAGACAUAAUACUUAUACAUUUUGUCCAAUUUCCUCACAUCACACACUUGGUAUAUUUUCAAACAUAUGGACUCACACCAAACACACGAGGCUCCAGAUCCCAAGAAAGAAAUCUUCUAAAAUAUUAACAAGACUUACAAAUAUAUAUAUAUAUAUAUAUAUAUAUAUAUGAUUAAUGCCUAAUGAUACUGCGUCUGUCUAAGAAGGGGGGGCAACUCUAUUCUCCUUGGCUUGCUCAAUCUUCCUUUUCUGAUUGAAAGUAGCAAGAACUAAAUUCUUGGAGAAAAAAUCAUUUUCUGCUUUCCGUCUCUGAAUACUGACCAACAUAAACUUCACAGACUACAUAUACCAGCAACCAAUCGAGCUCCCCAAUCCCUAAUCCAAUCAAACCAUGAUUCAUUCACAUCCUUUAAGAUAAGGACAAGAAAUUGCAUGAGGCACACAAGCUAUGGAACUUAAACCACUUUUUUAUAAGGAAAAAAAUCUGGACCAUUUCUUGAUUUGCCUACGUCAUCCUUGCACAAGGGCCAUGCUAAUCUUCUCCUCAUCGUUCCAAUUUUAUCAGAUGUCCCCGAAGGGACACCUGACCACUUUAUGUUUUAACAAAUAAACUAUUAACUACUACAAGUCAGUCGGUCAGUGAGCCUUAAGCAAAGGAUUUUCCCUUGAGAAAAGAGAGUGAACCAGCACACGACUGAAAUUACGCAACAAGUCCAGGAAUACUCUGACCCAUCUUUAUUUUUGUGAAUAAGAGCAGUAACGGAAUUAAUACAGAACAAGGUAAGAUCAAAACACGCACAAAAAAAAAGCAAGUAUUAUGAUCACCCCUGUGGGCUAUGUCAGAAAUUUUGGACCAUUUUUUUAUAAGGUAAGUCACUAUGACUGAAAUUUCAAGCCUUGAAUUGUUAAAUUAUUUAUUUUGAAGAUCUACAAAGGGAAAGAUUUUUUCUUGAGAAAAUCUUAACAGUUACAUCCAAUCACAGACUAGAAAGUUAUCCCUCUUUUAUGGAGAUUUACUGAUAUGAACCUAAAUAGAGCAGAAUGGACAUGGAUGAUUCAUACAACCCGAUUAGGGAUUGAAAUGAUAUCAUGCUACACUUAAUUGCUAUCAGAACUAAGAACAAUUAAAAUUUGGCAUUCAUCCAACAAAUGAAAUGGAAAAACAGCGGCUUCGAAACUAUGGCACCCUGAGUAGAAAAAAUACGAACUCAAUCACAAUAAGCGGGAUUCAAAUAAAAAAUUCAAGAGUGGAGGUUUUACCCUGUGCGCACCCAACAGGUAGCGGCUGAGGGUUUCCCUCGUCAUAAAAAAAAAUCAUUAACACGAAUUUUUGCUAACGAUAUCCAAAUUAGAAGAACUCCACAACAACAACGUCUCGAUCCCAAACUAGUUAAGCAUCUCCAUAUAAAUCCUCUGUAUCCAUUCAACUCCAUUUGGGUACAUUUAACAACACUAUUAUCGAAAUAUUCUAAGCCCCAAUAUAGCUUCACAAAUCAAAUUUCAGCUCAAAAUUCAACAUAAACGCUCUAACAAGCAAAUUCAGCCUUGAAGCACUAUUCUCUUCUAGAUAAAUCCUCAAACUUACACAUUAAUCCAUUCAUAAAGGUAAAUCUUAAAACUAAUAUCUAAGUUGGAAUAACACUACAAUCCCAAACUAGUUAAGUGUCUCCAUAUGAAUCCUCUAUAUCCAUUCAACUCUAUUUGGGUACAUUUAUCAACUCUAUGCCGAAAUAUCCAAACCCCCAAAAUAGCUUCGCAAAUCAAAUUUCAGCUCAAUAUUCAACAUGAACGACCUAACAAGCAAAUUCAGCCUCGAAGCACCAUCCUCUUCUAGAUAAAUCCUCAAAUUCACCCAUUAAUCCAUUAAUAAAAGUUAAAUCUUGAAACCAAUAUCUAAAUAAGAAAACCUCAACAACCCCAAACUAGUUAAGCAAUCUCCAUAUGAAUCCGCUAUAUAUAUUCAAAUCUAUUUGUGCACAUUUAACAACUCUAUUGUCGAAAUAUCCAAACCCCCCAAUAUACCUUCACAAAUCAAAUUUCAGCUCAAAAUUCAACGUAAAUGCUCUAACAAUCAAAUUCAGCCUCAAAAUGCCAUCUUUUCUAGAUAAAUCCUCAAAUUUACCAGUUAAUCCAUUCAUAUAAGUUAAAUCUUGAAACCAAUAUCUAAUUUAAAAGAACCCCACAACAAGAACAACGUCUUGAUCCCAAACUAGCUAGUCAAUCUCUAUAUAACUCCUCUUAUAUCCUUUCAACUCUAUUUGUGCACAUUUAACUACUCUAUUGCCGAAAUAUCCAAACCCCCAACAUACCUUCACAAAUCAAAUUUCAGCUCAAAAUGCCAUCUUUUCUAGAUAAAUUCUCAAAUUUACCCAUUAAUUCAUUCAUAAAAGUUAAAUUUUGAAACCAAUAUCUAAAUUAGACGAACCCCACAACAGCAACAACAUCUUGAUCCCAAACUAGUUAAAUAAUCUCUAUAGAAAUCAUCUUAUAUCCAUUCAACUCUAUUUAUGCACAUUUAACAUUCUUUCUAUCUCCAAGAAAUCCAACCCCCCCCCCCCCAAUAUACNNNNNNNNNNNNNNNNNNNNNNNNNNNNNNNNNNNNNNNNNNNNNNNNNNNNNNNNNNNNNNNNNNNNNNNNNNNNNNNNNNNNNNNNNNNNNNNNNNNNNNNNNNNNNNNNNNNNNNNNNNNNNNNNNNNNNNNNNNNNNNNNNNNNNNNNNNNNNNNNNNNNNNNNNNNNNNNNNNNNNNNNNNNNNNNNNNNNNNNNNNNNNNNNNNNNNNNNNNNNNNNNNNNNNNNNNNNNNNNNNNNNNNNNNNNNNNNNNNNNCUUUCUAACCCCAAAAAAACCCACCCCCCCCCCCCCCAAUAUACCUUCAUGAAGCAAAAUUCAGCUCAAAUUUCAACAUAAACGCUCUACAAUCAAAUUCUCCACGAAACCCACUACAUAAAUCCUAAAAUCAACCCAUUAAUCCAUUCAAAAAGGUUUAAUUUUGAAGGAAAUAAAUCAAUAUAGGUAUCGAUAAAUCGAAACAAUAUUAAAAAAAAAUGAAUUAAAAAAAUCGUAAAAUUUACCAGCGAUUAUAUUUGAUGAUCGAUAAAGUUCGUCAGUAUGAAGAUUUCUCUGAAAUUAGGGCUUCGAUUUUUAACUUUUUUAUGCGAAAAAGGGCAAAAUUUUGUCAGCACCCAUAAUUGCUCCACCGACUCCUCCUAUUAAUUUUUUGUAUUUGUAUGGGAUUAUUAUUAUUUUAUAUUAUAUGUAAUUAUCUUUUUAGAAAAUGACAUUUUGACAUAAUUAUCCAUCAAAAUAAUAACAUGGAAAUGUAUAUUCUUUAUUUUCCUAGUUUUACUUGUUCAUUAUUGACUUGGAAUACACAAAAAUUUUAGUAAUGAUAAUUUUAUUAUAAAUAUUAAUAAUAAAUACAAUGUUUUGAAAUUUAUCAAAAAAAAUGAUUAUAAUUAAUAAUAACGAUAAAUUAGAAGUUAUGUGAUCAAUUAUCUCUUAAUUUUUUUAAUUUGUUAAAUAAAUGUGUACAUUUGUUUUAUAAAGGAUGAGUGAAAAUAUAUAUAUAUAUAUAUAUAUAUAUAAUAAUUUUUUUCUUUUUUAAAAAAUAUUUUAUCAUGCUUCUCUUAAGUAUUUGAUGUUCAGAUUGUUUUGUUAUGUUUAUUUUUAAGUUGAGUGGCUGAAUCGGAAAUAGUCUCUUUACUUUUCAAGAUAGGAAUAAGAUUUUUGUGCACCCAAUUUUCUUUAUACUCCAUUUAUAAAAUACAUUGAGUAUAUUAUUAUUGCUAUUAUUAUAUAGUUUUAUAUAUUUAACUAGAGGAUAUAAUUGCUUUUUCUUUGAGAAGCCAAAUAUAUAUAUAUAUAUAUAUAUAUCACUUAUCCUUUCUUUUUUUCUAUUCAGUUUUCUUCUAGUAUUUUGUUUUUCUAAUUCUUUUCCUUUUUAUUUUUUUAUUUACUUAUUUAACAGGUUAUACUUAGGAAGUAUUUGAGCAUAUACUUAAUUUGGUGCCCACACAAUGUGCUAGGAACAGACAAUGCAUCUGUUUUGUAUUUUAUUUAUAAGCAAAGAAGAUCAAGAGAAAAGGCUCAAUUCACAACCAUUAAAAAAUAUUGAACCUUUAAAUUCGAAAAUCAGAUUUUAUAAAAUCGUUAUUUAUUUGGAUUAAAUGUUGUUGCAAAUGAUUGUGAAUAUUCGUAAUCGUUAGAAUUUAUAUGUCAAUUUUGAGGUUGUUUGAAAAGAUUAGAGCUGAUUUUUAUUGAAAUAUUAUAUUGAAACUCGAGGAUCAAGAAGGAAAAUAAUUCAUUUCGCACCCAUCAUUUCAACUUUGAGAUAGCAUAUCUAAAGUUUUUUGAGCUGGCUAAACUUUAAAUUAAAACAUUUAUAAAUUAUGACUAUUUCUAUAAAUAGGAAUUCUAAAAACACACUUGGGCCCUAAUACAACUUUCAAAGCCCAUUGAUAUUUAUUAUCCAUCAAAUUAGCCCAAAAGCUCAUCUGGGCUGGGCUUCAUUAUCAAGUUAGGGCCUUGUCUAGCUCUAUUCAUUAUGGAUUUUCUAUUUAUUUAUUUUCACAAAUUAUUACAAUUAAAAGUUAAAUGGGAAAUUUUCGCAAAUAGCCACUAUAAUAAACUUAAUUAUGCUUCAUAGUUAUAGUGUGCAUAUUUACGGGCUGUAGCUACAGUUUAAGCUGUCUCGUUUGUAUAAUUUGCAGGUUUGUACAAUUUGCGGGUACAUUUGUAUAAUUCAGUUAUUUUUGUAUAAACUCGAAAUAACGAAUUUAUACAAUUACAAACAUCAGAAGUGUAAACAGUUACACAAAUUAUUUUAUACAAAUUAUGAAUUCUACAAAAAUUAUACAAAUUAUAUGAUACAAAUUAUGAAUUAUACAAACGUGCUAAUUAUACAGAACUAAAAGGCAGAGUUGCACAAUUAUAGCUAAAAGUAGGUUGCGAAUUGUAAUUAAGACAAACUAUAGCUAUGUUAACUAAUUAACUAGUAUAUUUAAGUAAAAUUUCAAGAUUGACAACUAUAAUCUUAUAUUCGAAAAUUGACAAUUAUUCAUGGCUAUUUCUUUCCAUUCAUGCAUGUUCAUAAAAAAAUUGAAAUACUUGGGUCUUCUCUUAUUAUUGGUCAAUAAAAAUAUGUGUAUAUAAUUAAUUUAAAUCAUAUAUAUUUAUUACGAUGAAUAUAUAUAUAAAAAAAAAAAGUAGCACCGAAUAUAUGGGCAACAAGUCAUUUUUAAAAACUUUAUUUUUUGAUGUGGAUAUCAUAAUAUAUAUGGUUUAAGGCAUGUGGUUUUUAAUGCUUUAGUUUCUCCAAAAAUGACCAAAACAUUAGAGCCACACACAUGAACAAUUAUUUUAAUUAGUUUAAGACAUUAUUUUUCAAUGCCUAAUUCAAUAUUAUAGUUGUACUUUAUUCCAUUGUUGGUAUUAAAAUUAUGUGUUUCGAUUUACUUGAGUCCCUCCCAAUAUUUAUUAGUAAUUGCUCCCACUUACCACUUUUAUUUUUAUUUUUAUUUUUAAUUUGGUACUAGCUUUGAAUUAUUCUAAUUAGUUUAGAUUUGUCGCGUAAAGCUCAUUAAAAGAGAAAACAUUUUCUAUAAGGGUUGUUUCCAUUUCAGGAGGGUUAGAACCUGAAAUUAUGAUUCAGAGUAAAAGGAUUAUAUUCAUCUUACCACAAUUAUUGGCGGUAUAUACCACAACUAAGUACCAGUAGAUGUAUAAAUUACUCAUAUUCGCUAAUGUCAUGCUUUAAUCAAUUUGAUAUCAGCGAUGUAUUCAUGAUUUAACUUAAUAAAUUAGAUAUUUAAUGUUCUUAAUAUUAAACUCAUUAUAUUUUUAAAAUUAUAAGUUAAUAUGUAAUAUUUAUUAUUCUUUUGAUGAUUUUCUCAUAUACAUAUAUAUCUUUAAAAUGAGAAAACAUCCAAAUGCCCCCUCAAGCUAUGAGUGAAUUUUCAACUACACACUUAUUCUUUACGGGGGGUCCUAUUACCCCCUUGAACUACUUUAAAACCGAUCAAGUAAUGCUGACAUGGCAUAGAGAGUGCAUUUCACUCUCUCAAAAAACAAUUAAAAAGAACAUUUUUAUUAUAAUUAAAUUGUAUAUUUUUCUCUCUUUUUUCUUUUUAUUUAUUUAUUUAUUUUUAUAAGAAAAAUUACCCCUUUAAUGGAGGAAAUUACUUUCCCUUUCACUUCUAUGGAAGAAAAAGAUAGCAGUCCCAACAUUCACAUCUCUGAUAGAUGAUAAAUCCUAAUAUUUGACAGAAAAACUCAUCGAACGAGUCGGCGAUGAGGAAGAAAUAAUCACCGGAAAAGAUGAACUCACGGACAAAUUUGAAAUUUUAUUCUUGAGCUUCGAAGCUCUUUAAUAAUGGUUGUCCAUGGAUUUGUAUUUCCUCCUUAUUUGUCAAUUUUUUUCUUUAACUCAAAUCAAUUGAUCUAGAUGUUUUCAAACUCAAGAACUCAACAAUGGGAUUCCCAUAAAGGAUUCAAUUUAGUCUCUACAAUUUGUAAUUGAAAAUGAAAAUUUUCAGAUUUGGAUUCAAACUCUGCAACCCACAAUUUUUUUUUUAUUUUGACAGCUUUGUAGGUCAGUGUGAUUUUCUGAUUUUUGGCUUAAAUCUUCACACCUAAUUCGAAAUCAAUUAACAAGUAAUGUGUGGUUUCAAUACACCAAACCCAAUCACAUUUACAAACUUUCAAGAUUUGCACAAAUUCGAUGAACUCAAUGAAGAACAAUAGUUUUGUUUUCUUCAAAUUUUAAGAAAUUAAUAAAGCCAAGAAAACAAUUGAAGAUUUAAUUAAGGUAAGUAUUAUAGAAAUAUAUAGUUUAAAGGAUCAAUUUGUGUGUAUAUAUACAUAGAAUACAAAUUUUUUUAGAAAAAGAAAAGAGGUAAAAUAGAAUAAAGAUGAAAGAAGAAUCUAAAAAAAGUUUUUUUAAAAAAAUUAUUAUAUAUACCUGACAGCUGGCAGUGCGUGUCCACCACUUCAGGUUAUGAAUGUGGGUGUAUAGUUUUAGGGUGAUAUUUAUAUCGUUUUAAAGUAGUUCAAGGGGGUAAUAGGAUCCCCGUAAAGUAAAAAUGUGUAGUUAGGAAUCGGACAAUAGGUUGAAGGGUCAUUUGGCUAUUUUCUCCUUUAAAAUUAAAUGUUCAAAUUUUAGAUAUAAAAUAUUGAAUUCAAAUAAAACCUACUACCUAGAGCUUCUUUCACAUCAAACCAUGAAUUAUUGAUAGCUAGGCCAAAUCAAGCAUGCCCUUGAAGCUAGAAUAUCAAUAGAUUUGUAUAUGUAACCACUUUAUUCAACAUUAUAUUGUUGAUCUUUCUUGUUGAACUAGUUUUUGAGGCUAUGAUUAAAAAAUAAUAGCUUAAACACUUAAUUUCUAUCAUUAUCAAGAUUAACUUUAAUUAGGUUUGUACUUUUUUCUAUCGUUAUGAGGUGUUUUUCUUGUAAGUUAUCUACAUUGAAAGACAUUGAAUGAGUGACUCAUAUUAUUAGAAAAUCGUCAUUUUUCCACUAUUAAUUUUGGCUACAAAAAGAUAGACGAAUUUUUUUAUUAUCAUAAUCGAAAAGUGUUUAAAAAAUUAUUUUAGAUGUUUAGCUUUUUAUCCAUCUAAUUUUACGUCUUCCGAUUACCAAAAAAUGAAUGGAAUGGUAUUGAAAACCUUACAACUAUGCCUAGCUACUUUUUGAUAAAAACGGCUGUCAAAAAAUCAUGAUAUUCUAGUAAUAUCAUUUAACCAAAUCUAAGAUAAAAUAGGAAUAAUAUAAUAAUAGAAUUAAACCACUUCACUAAAUAAAGACCACAAGUAACCUUCAAUUAUCUAAGUUUUAGUCAAUUACUUGUGAAACUAUUUCAUGAAAGUGUAAACUCUACAAUUGGAUUUUGCCGUGUUUAGUGUUCUACAAAACUCUAAGAUGACUUCUACUUCAAUUCUUCAUGUGCUAUUAUAUUGUUCAUUUUAGACUAAACACAAAUGUCGUUUUCUCAAAAGUCUCGUACUACUAAUAUUAUUUUUCACUCUUUUCAAUUAUUAACAUAAUACUUUAUUUACAUCCCAGACAAUCUCACAUCAAACUAAUUUCCACAUGAUCCAUCACUAUGAUACACGAGUCUCUUUCUCGAACUAAACUUCACAUGGCUCAUUACCAUGAACCAUGUAGUGUCAACUUUGAGAUUCAUUGUGUGUCAUAAUUGAAAAAAUAUAUGUCCACAAAGACAAAGCCUUGAAUUUUUUUUUUAUUUUUUUGCACAUACAUCUCCAAGCUACUUUUGAAAGGUAGUAAAUCGAGUUUCACAUCAUUACUCGCCUAUUUUCACAUUUAUUUCAUCAAAACAUUUGUUUGUAUAUUUGUUGUUGAGCUAAAUCAGCUCAAAAAUAUCCUUGAUGAGUGAUAUUGUAUGUUUUUGGACAAAACCUUCUAAAUAUAUUUUUCAAAAUUAUCUCACAUCAUUAAUUAAAAUAUUAUACAUCUUAUAUUAAUUUUCAAUAUGAGAAUUUCUUUAGACAUUCAACAAAAGAUAAUGUUAGACAAAAUAAAGAGUAGUUUAAAUUUGCUAGAAAUUGACAAAGAUGAAGGACAAAGUGUCACGAGUUUGAGUCAUGAAACUUUUUUUUAAGUACGGAACAAUAAACUUUUCAUAGGACUUCUUCUAUCACACAAAUUUAAAUUAAUCAUAUUAAUAAAUAAUAUUAUUCCAUACACCAUAUGUUUGAAGGAAAAACAAAGGUCAAAUGCUUGAAGAAGAAAAGUUGGGAAACACCUCCCUUUCUUUUUUUCUUUUUAUUUUAUCCCUUCGAUGAAUUUUUCUUUUUGAUCAAUGCUCUACUAACUAGAAAAUAUUGUUUGAAUCAAUACUCCAAGACAUCUAUUGAAUACAGCAACAUGAAUUUUUUUCACAAUAAACAAAAAUCUUAUAGAAUAGUACCGUGUCGAGGAGAAGGCCCAUAAAUCGUGAACUUCUUUUUGUCAAAAAAGAAUUUUAAAAGGUUAAGAAAGGAAAAAUCAAAACCCUAAUUAGUUUGUGGACAAUGACAAAAUUAGUAAUAGUAGGAAAUGGACCAAUAUUGCACACCACAAAACGACCAAAUUAGUCAAUUACUAUAGAAUUCAACUUGUAGGAACAGUCCACACAAUUUUAAAUAUAUUGCUCCAAAAAAUAUAUACAGAAAAUGACACUUUUUAAGCAGAUAAUUUUUUAUGACAGAAGAAAUUCACAAUCGUUACAUGGUAAAUCUCAUUCUAGUAUAAUAGCCUGUAAAUCACAUAGAAAAGAUAAAUAGUAAUAAGCAAGUCUCAGGCGGUGAGAUCGACCGAAAAAUCAUCUAGAAGAUUUUGAACCUAUCGAAAUUUCUCCAAUUCGUUUUUAUUUAGGAAAUUUCGUGAUCAAUCAACUCAAUCAUCCUGCCGGUUAUUUUAUAGGAAUAUACUUGAAUAUUAUUUCCGUUUCCUAUCCCUAUCAACUAAGAAAAAAUAAGGUCAAUUUUGCAUUUCUGCUGGCAAAAUAAUUAGUGCACCACGUUGCACCGAAUAAUUAAAGUCAAGUAAGAACUAGGAAUCAUAAUAUAAAGUUUUAAAAUAAAUUUGUAUAGUAGUUCAACAAACUCCUACUUACCUUUUGUAUAGACAUUUGUUUGAUUAUAUGAGAAUUUUAAAUUCAUAAUAUUUUUAAUUAUGGAGAACCAUAUAAUUGAAAUCUUAAAAAGAAAAAUAUGUUACAUACUACUCCAUAUACAUAAAUGAUGACUAUCGUAAAACGUGUUUUGUGGAUUUGAUAAAUUUCAUGUAUUUUUAUAUCUUAAAUGUUUUUAAACUCGAAAAUGUAUUUUAUUAAAAUUUUGAAUCUGUCACUGUAUAUAAAUUUAUUAAGUAACUUACCGACUAAUCAAUUUAUCAAAUUUCCUUUUUUUUUUGUUGGUUGAAAUUUGAAAAAUGACAAAAAGAGAUAAUAUUUAAUGAGAAGCUUGCUAAGUUGGUUGUGAUUAAUACUUUUCAAAUGAUUUCUUAUCACAUAAUUUGGGAUAGAAUUAAAUGCUUAAAAAUACAGUUUUUAGAUUCUAGUCUUUUUCUCUAGCCAAUAUACUUUACAACUAUUUUGAAUAGACUAUUAUUAAGAGCUCUAUAAACCUAAUCAUCUUCAUUCAUCAUGAUGAUUAAUAAAUACCUAACCAUUUAGCCUCCUUUGUUUGUUGUUAUCAUAUCAAUAAACUAACUAUGAAAUUUAUUGCUAUAUAAUUUGUAGCUAAUAAAAUUUGAAAUUUGUCGUUAAAUAAAAUGAUGUGCAAAUUUUUAUUAUUUAGUGACACACAUUGCCUUUUAGUUUCCAUUCGAACUUUGAUAUACUUUAAGAUUAUAUAUCUAAAUUUACAUUUGGAAGUCUCACUUCAUGAAUAAACUUAUUCCACGACUGCUCUAGUCAAUCUCCAAAACAAAGCAUAACUAUGACAUUGCUAUUUUUUUUUCUGAUUUCAUCGUAUAAAUUUCUAACUCCGUCACAAAAUUCUACAGAAUUUGGUAGAUGAAAAAAUUAAUUAAAUGAUGGAAGAUGAACCCUAGGAAAACACAAAUAAAUUAAACAGAUUAAUGAAUGGUUAUUUAAUUAUUAUUUUUUAUGGGUAGCCAUGAUGUGGAAGAAUGCACUAAAUUGCAAAAAAUAAAAAAAGUGAGCUAAAGGGGUCUAACUUUUAUUAGAAGUGUAUAAUAUAAUAUAACAUGACAUGAUGCCAAGUGCCAACCUAGCUAGUUAAUUUUUUUUAAAAUCAUUCAAAUUAUUGAAUUUUGGAUUAGAUGUAUUUAGAGAGAAUGAAAGUAUGUGGAUACUUCCAUUAUUAGUUGUUUCUUCCAGAUAAAGAAAAAAAAAGGAAAAAAGAGAGAGAGAGAGAGAUAAGGGUGUGUUUGGCAUGACAUAAUUAUUAUUUUUUGUUCGAUUGAUUAGAAUUUUCAUUAAGAAGUAGAAAAAACAAAGAAGAAGUAAGUAUCCUCCAUCUCCACCGCCCCUAUCACUCUCUCUUCUCAUAUUUUCCUUCAUACCAAAUAGUCGAACACACCCAAAUUGCUAAAUUAAUAAGUAUUUCUUUUGUAUUAUACAUAAAAAUAUUAUUAUUUAUAUUUGAUAAAAUAAUUAAAAUGUAUAAUUAGAUAUAAGAAAAUGUUGAAUAUUACAACUCAUUAAUAAAACAUAUAUUCUACUUGUACCCCAAGCAUAUAUAUAUGGCCACAAAAUGGAGAAGAGAAGGAUAAGUUGCACACUUUAGGCCUGCAUAAGACUAAUCUAAAGGGAAGAUGAUCCAUACACACUAGAUUUUAUUUUAUUUUCAUAUUAGAACUCACGGUUUUUAGCUAGGGAAGAAAUUAUUUUUCAUCCGAUAUUUGAUAUUUGCUAUUCAUUUUAGAGCCCAGAUGAAUUUAAUUACAUCUCAUAUCAUGCUAGUCAAAGAGAAUAACUCUUUGUUUACCAUGAGUUUUUUUAUUUUUAAGAUUUAACUCAAAAUCUCUGAUUAAAAAUAUUUUUUUUAUUCAUUUCACCGCAAUUCUCCAAAAAAAAUCUAUAUACUAUUAUUAUAUGUGGGUGUGGACAUGUGAUAUAAAAACAUCUCCUGAGUCCUGACUUUGGUUCAUUCCCAAUAUUAUUAUAUACAGUUAGGAAUAUUACAAAUCCGUCCAAAAACUCUACUCAUUUCAAAAAAUUUAUUUAAAUGCUUAUUUGUCAAUGUGAUUAAUUUUUAGAAUUAAAUUGAAUUAGAUUCAUUUAUUAUUUUAAAUUUUAAAUUUGAAUAUUUAAAAACUACACGAAUAAUAUUAUAAAUUGCAAUCAUUUUCAUAUCAGUGUGAUUAAAAAAUACAAUAUUAGUCAAAAUUCGUACAAUUUGACUCUUGAACAUCGAAUUAUGACAAGUAAAAAUGAACGAAAGGAGUAACUAAAAGAACAAAUUUAAGAUUUAAAGCAUUCUCCACUCUCAUUUCUCUAUGAAAUAUCGGCAGAUAAGAUUUCUUUAUUCACGAUGUAAAUUUAAAUUAAUAAAUCGAACGAAAAUUUAUUAAUUGAUUGAAAAAAUAAAUAACAUGAAGUGUUUCAAGACGUUUUGAAUUUUAAAGAAGCAAAACGCCAAAUUGUACAAUUUUGACCCUCGGAAAGUUCCAAGAAAAAUAGAAAGGAAUGUACAAUUUUGACCCUUCCAAUUAACGAUUAUUACUAUUACUUAUGUUUUUUGUCAAGUACUAUUUUACCACUACUCAAUUCACAAAUAACGAUGUUGCCAUUGCAAAUAUCAAUUUUAUUGUUGGAAAAAUAAUAAUCACAAAAUGAUAAAAAAAAUACUCUUUUGUCUCCAAUUUAUUUGAUAAAUUUUCUUAGUCGAUUAAAAAAAAAAGAUAUACCUUAUAUAUUUUGUAAUAAAUUUAAUUUUACACUUCUCAUUUUAUUUUAAAUAUUUUCUUUGAGUUUGAUUUUAAUUUGCCAUAAAUUUUAAGAAAGUGAAUUUUUUUUUGAAUCUUGUGAGCUUAAACUAUGAAUAUGUUGAAUGUACCAAAUAUAUUUUUAAUCUUGUAGUCUUAAACAUGUCAUGUGAAAAGUUAGAAUUAAAAAAUUAUCAAAAAAGAUAUUUAUUUUUAAAUAGACUAAAAAUGAAAGUAAGACGAACAUUUCUCUAUAUCUGUCUCCGAUUUAACAAAAAAAUUUAAGAGUCUUUUUUAAAAAAAAAUUAGUGCGUCGAAUCCACUACUGAAAAAUCACUACAAUAUGUUUAGUAGACAUUUUCACAGAUAAUUUGAUUGAAUCGGUGAAAAAAAUUAUAUAUACUAAUGUUUUCACACGAAAAAAAUAGGAAGCUUUCAGUAUUUCGGUAAGAAUCUGUUUUUCACAGUAUGUAUUUCUAGUGAAUUGAUUCAAUGAGAAAAUUAUAUUUUAUAACAUAAAUUUUUCAUUCAUUAAUAAUAAUAAUAAUAAUAUUUAUUUUUAGUAGCGAUCAAAUAUCAUGACAUAAAAUCAUAAAUUGAAACAAAGGUAACUUAGCAAAUGUGUUUUAGCCAUAUGAAACACUAAAUUACAGGUCAAUAUGAAAUUUGUUUAGUUGUCAACAAUCUAUCAAAUGUGAACUAUACUCUUAUGUUAAAUUAAAAAAUAUUACGUUAGGCCAUACGUAAUUUACAUUUGACAGAUAGAAAUUAAAAAAAAUAAAAUUGGGUCAACUAACCCAACUUGAACGUAAUAAGAUGAUUCAAACGAAGAAAAUAAUUUAUGAUAGAUAUUAAAAUUUGAAUAGAACGAAAGUGUUAAUAUCUAUAUUGCAUUUUAAGAGUUUGAACACUAUCCUACAUCAAUAAAAAAAGAGUGAUUAUAUUAUUAUUUUUACUUGUGUAAUGAUAAAAACAAGUUUAGAUGACCGAUACAUGUGUUUUUUUAGCUAUAAAUUAAUCCAAUCAUUACUAAAUAAAAGCCCAAAAAAACGAUUGAGAAACCAAGCUCAAAUCGAAGAUCGCAAAGUUUUGAUCGGUAAAAAGAAAAAAGUGGGCAUAGAGCGGAGCAAAUUUGGGAAAGUGGGUAGAAAUUAAUAUUAUUGAGUCCGAAAAUAGAGUUUUUAUUCAAACCUCACGAUAUGGAAAAGUAUCAUCAUAAUAACUCGAUUUGUCCGAUAAAUUAUUUGAGAAAGUCGAUGUUUUAAUUAGAAUCAAAUCACAACUUAUUAGUUUAGUCAAAUAUUUUUCACAAAUUUAACUUACAAACCGUCUAAUAUUUACUAAUUAUGGUUCAACACUAACAGACUAAAAUAGUAAAAUCUUGGUCUGAUUAUAGAUAAAAAGAAACACGAAUACUAGCCUUCAACCUCGAUUCGAUCUAAUUUAAUUAGGGUUUGAGCCUUUCAUUUUAAAUGUGAAAGGUAUGAGAUUUAUCAAGUUAUCUAGCCUUUAACCUCGAUUUGAUCCAAUUUAAUUAUAAAGUGUCCAAAAUUAAGUUUGAUUUGAAGAGUUCCAAACAAUUCUUUUAAGAUCUAGCUUAAUUUCUUCUCUAAAUUGAACCAUGCACACCUUUAUAAAUUACUCCAUAUGUACUGUCUAAAUUGGGGAAACAUCAACUUUAAGAUUUAUCAAUUUUAUCGUUCAUGAACCUUCUAUUUUUUGCAAUUUCUUAAUAGAUCACAUCAACUUUUCAA
rnacentral:lncRNA from 1 species